UGAUGGAUGUCGUCGAGCCCGGCUUACGGCGCUACCUGGAAGGUCAGGUCGCUCAGGCUCAGGCUCAGCAGCAGGUGGGAGAGAGCGACGCUUCUUUUGGUGAAGACGAGCUGUCUAUUAGCCGCACAAUGUCCAGUCUAAGGUUGAAACUGGUUUCUCUUUUGCAAGCGGCGCUGGUAGCCCUUCCGAGCCAAGAGCCUUAGAUAUCAAGUCUGUCUGGUGUACAUUUGUUUUAUAACUAAACGCUGCUGGACCGGUGUAACUCGAUGUAAACUGUAGCAUGGUGAAUAUUACAAAUGUUUAAAACUAGCGGUGGCAGGAUGAUGCUUUAAGAGAAGUCGAGAGAUGCUGCAAUGUUCUGUUACUCGAUUGGAAUUUACAGUGCAUUUCUUGUAUAUACUUCAUUUGCCAUACUUCAUUUGCCUUGUUUUACUGCAUCGAUAUUUCACACUGCACUUUCUUUGCUAGUUGGAUCUUGAAACACGGUAUAUAUCAGUUGCAUUUUUCUCACUUUCACGCUCAUAUAUCAGUUGUAUUCUUUUUUAUAACAUAUCAGUUGCAGUGUAUGAUGAUUCCAUACAUUUUAACAUAUAUCUCGCAAGGACCGCCUGGACGACGGCCGGGAGAGCGCCAGCGGCGGACGCCUGCUUCUCACUCAGGAGUGGGAGCCGAGGAAGAGGCACCCAUGCGGCAACGGUGACUAGGGAAGCGGUGGGCAAAUUUGGUGUUUUGACCCUUUUGCGUCGAGCUGACUCAGAUUUAAAAAAAAAUCGGGAUCUGAUCCUUUUCCUACGGCCGAGGCCUCUGGCGGUAGGCAACUUAUCCACGCCAGCGAAAGUGCAGCCCUACCGCCAAACUGGCCGACGGUAGCAUGUGCAACCCUACUGCCGAGGCGCCCGGCGGUAGGUGGAUACAAACACUGUAUUGAUACUUAGAACUUUUUUAUGAUAGGGCGUGCAAUCCUACCGUCAAGGUAGUUAUACUCUACCGCCAUCGACCUCAGCAAUAGGUCAGAUCUUGAUUUUUUUUUUGAACCAGGGUCAGAUUUGGCUCAAUUUUCACAAAAAGGGUCAAAACACCAAAUUUGUCCUACCUCGGUUGGUAGCUAUGGUCGUGGUGCCGGCGACAACUGCAGGCGAAAGCUUUGCCAGCCCAAGCGAUAGGGUAGGCAACACGUGGUCCCCGCAGCGAGGGCGAUCAGGAAAGGUGUUGGUAUUGCGGUAAGAAGGGCAAUCGGGCCGUGAGUGCCACAAAAGUAGCGUAAUGAGGCGGCCGCGACAAAUUUUGUCCAGGUGGAGGAGGAUGAGGGACCCAGCCUGACGAUGGCCUGCGUGAGUCCGUCCAGGAGGGGUUGGCGGUCGCGACCCUAGCUCAGUCCGGCCCCAAGCUUGGUCCGACCAUCGGAUCUCACGGGUGGCCACAUCUCCCUCAACAAGGAUAAGGCGGUGAUCACGCCCACACAUGAUGGCUACAGAUGUGGCGGUGAGGUCUGGUUCCUUGACACCGGCGCAACGAACCACAUGACCGGAUCGACUGAUGCAUACGCCGAACUGGACCGAUCAAUCUCAUGCAAGGUGCAAUUCGCGGAUGGAUUGGUUGUCAAGAUCCACGACCCCGAUACCGUUGUCUUGGCCAUGGAUGAGGAAGACCAACAGACGUUCACAGAUGUCUUCUUCGUCCCUACGCUCAAGAGUAGUGUCGUCAGUCUUGGCCAACUAGGCGAGAACUGGUACGACAUCGCCAUUCGCCAUGGAGUGCUCACUGCACGCGAUCAGCGCAGUCGUCUCCUAGUCAAAAGGUAACAUGUGCACCGAAUCGCUUGUACAAGCUUUCAUUUUGCCCUAUUUAUCCAGUGAGCCUUGCCAUGGGCCAUGUACAGCUCGGGCUCGGGCACCUACACUUCAAUGGGCUACGAAGGAUGGCGAGCGGAGGUUUUGUUUGUGGCCUACCGCACAUCGCGGACAUGGAUGAGUUUUGUGAGGGUGCCUCAUCGGGAAGCAGCGCUGCCUACCAUUCCGCAAAAGGCACAGUUUAGGGAGAAAAGGCCCGUGGAGCUGGUCCUUGGCGACCUUUGUCGGCCGAUCAUGUCAGCAAAACUGGGGCGGACGAUGCUACAUGUUACUGCUCGUCUCAAAGGACGAGGCAGAACGGGCCAUCGUCAAGUUCUAGGCCGUGGCGGAACUGGAGUGCGGCCACAAGCUGUGCGUAUGAAAGUGCAACUAAUCCUUGGGUGGUUUUGGUAAUUCAUAAUAACAUAUAGCUCAUUGAACUAAUAUCCAUUCAAGUUUAAUAUUUUAGAAAGUUCAAUGAAUGGCAUGGCAUGGACUAGAGAUGUGGACCCCUCAAAAUGCUAAGGACACAUAUUGGCAAAAGAUCAAGACUCUUCAUUUCAUUUUUAGCAAUCCAAUAUCACAUUGAGUCCAUCGAAAAGCAGUACUAUUAAAAGGGGAUGAUGUGUUGCUUAAUGGCUUGCUUGCUCAAAUGCUUAGUGAUAUUGCUCCAAACCUCUCAACCACUUUCUCAUUCCAAAUAUGUCAAAACCCUAAACUCCAACUCAGCCCCACCGAUUCAUCCUAUCCGGAGCCACUGAGUUCAUAUGACAUAGCCACUACCAGAAACCCUAAUAGUUCGGUCACACCGAUACGGAUCUUAGUCUCACCGAGAUUGCGCUGUCAAUUCUUUGUUGCCUGUUGCAAUUAUUUCGGUCUCAUCGAAAUAGCGGUCGGUCUCACUGAGUUGGCUUGGCAUUCGCUCUGUUGCCUUAUUGCUUCACUUCGGUCUCACCGAGUUGAUGCAAUCGGUGCCACUGGUUUGAUGUUUGCCCUAAGCCCUAGCACAUCGGACGCACCGAGUUGUUCCACUCGGUCCCACCGAGAUUCCUAACGUUCACAUUUUGAACUAAAUGGGUCUCAUCGAGUUCUUCUAUUCGGUCUAACCUAGUUGGGUCAAAUGUGUGUAACGGUUGGAUUUUGUGUGUAGGCUAUAUAUACCCCUCCACCCCCUUCUCCAUAUGUGAGAGAGCCAUUAGAACGUGCCUACACUUCCAGCAUACAUUUUUUGAGAGAGAACCACCUACUCAUGUGUUGAGAUCAAGAUAUACCAAUCCUACCAAGAAUCUUGAUUUCUAACCUUCCCCAAGUUGCUUUCCACUCAAAUAAUCUUUCCACCAUAUCCAAAUCUGUGAGAGAGAGUUGAGUGUUGGGGAGACUAUCAUUUGAAGCACAAGAGUAAGGAGUUCAUCAUCAACACACCAUCUACUACCUUUUGGAUAGUGGUGUCUGUCGGUGUCAAAACCGGCAGAUCUCGGGUAGGGGGGUCCAAGCUGCACAUCUAAGGAUCAAUGGUAACUAUGAAGAAAGGACACAAUGUUUACCCAGGUUCGGGCCCUCUUAAUGGAGGUAAAACCCUACUCCUGUUUGAUUAUAUUCGAGGGUAUAAAGGUUACAAGAGUUGAUCUACCUCGAGAUCGAUUCGGCUAACCCUAGAUUAGCUAGCCUAGCAAUGUUGUGAUCCUGCCUUCGAUCUACCCUCCGGUUUAUAAAGACACCGGAGGGGCUUAGGGUUGUACACAGUCGGUUUUACAGAAAGGAAUAAUACACCCGGACACCUACACUUGCCAUCCACGCAUACAGGAGUCCAUACCGGACACGAGAGAUAAUCUUCGGUCUUGUAUCUUGACGGCCCAUCAGUCCGGCCCAUAUCCAAUAGGCCGGACGCCCGAGGACCCCCUAGUCCAGGACUCCCAUAGUAGCCCCUGAACUAGUCUUCAAUGAUGAUAUAUUCGGCGUUCAGAUUGUCUUCGGCAUUGCAAGGCGGAUUCCCUGAAGAAUACACAUCGGCCUUCCUCUGUAAAAGAAUUGUAUCCGGCUUUUGAUAAUAAACACAAGCCUUAGUCGCAAAGGCAUGACAUAUAUAAAAAUAAGAAUAAUGUCUUUUACUGACAAAUUUUUCGAUGAAGCGUCAGACUUGAACCUUCGUUAUUUGGAACCGUUUUCACACCCCGCUUUCCGUGUUUUGAGGCCAUGCCUUGUUGGCAUGUCCUGUCAAAACAGAGAUCGUGCCCACUUAAUACAGGAUUGCACAUCAAUGGUAUUUGGGUAACCCAACCGACUGCGGCGCAUACCCACAUCGGGAGCAGGCGAAGUUUUAAGGCUAGCGAGGCGGGCACUCGGUAUUCACGACCUAUAUAAGUGGAUAAAGAUCCAUCUUUUUCAUCCCACGCCUCCUUCUUCCUCAGCCUUCCCAUCUUCGAGCUCCAACGCCCAAGCUUCAAUCCUCCCCACCGCCACCAACCUCUCCGGCCAUGUUCGGAUUCGGCUUUCAAGGCAAGUGGGUGGACUCCUCGUGAAGGAGAAGGACAUCAAGGAGCUCCAGGAGGCGGGGUACCUGAGCACGGACAUUGCGUACAGGCUCCCUGCCAAGAAGCAGGUCAUCCCCACUCCAGGGCCCGCCGAAAGGGUGUUAUUCAUCCCCCACUUCCUCCGCAGACUAGGGUUUCCACUUCACCCUUUUGUCCGCGGCCUCAUGUUCUAUUACGGGCUAGAUUUCCAUGAUCUAGCCCCAAACUCCUUCAUACACAUCUCGGCGUUUAUCGUCGUGUGCGAGGCGCUCCGCUGCAUCCCUCCCCCCACUUUGGUUUUUGGCUCAAAAUCUUCAACGUGAAGCCAAAGGUGGUGGACGGGCAGCACGCAGACUGCGGAGGUGCCAUGGUGAGCAAACUCCCCAAUGUCACCUGGCCCAAAGGGGCCUUCGUGGAAACUGUCAAGAUAUGGCAGUAGGAAUGGUUCUACAUCACUGAACCCCGUGGCGCCAACUGGGCAGCCACUCCUGAGUUUAGAUCUGGACCCCCGAUGCGGCUUGCGUCGUGGAUCAACAAGGGUCCGGAUUGGGGGGCGACCGACGAGGUGUUGAUGCUGCAAAAGCGCAUCAAAAACAUUAUAAAAAAGAACACCAGCCUCACUAACGUGAUCCAGGUGAUGCUAUUCCACCGGACCCUUCCCUGCCAGCACCAGCCUCUCCAUGUGUGGGAAUUCAACCCGGAAGGGCCGCGGACCCUGCAGCGAUUCUUCGGCACGACGCACGAAGAUAUUGAUACGUCCAUUUUGCAUCAUGAUUUUAUAUCAAUAUUUAUAGCAUUAUAGGUUGUUAUUACACAAUAUAUCUAAUUACUUAUGGCUAUUCUCUCUUAUUUUACAAGGUUUACCAUGAAGAGGGGGAAUGCCGGCAGCUGGAAUUCUGGCUGGAAAAGAAGCAAACGUUGGAAACCUAUUCUGCACAACUCCAAAUUCCUGAAACUCCACGAAACAACUUUUUGGGAUUUAUAAGAAUUUCUGAGCGAAAGAAAUAGGCCAGGGGCCCACACCCUGUCCAGGAGACAAGGGGUGCCCCCCCUAUAGGGCGCGCCCCCUAUCUCUUGGGCACCCUGGUGGGCCUCCGACUUCCAUCUUCUGCUAUAUCAUCACUUUUACCUUGGAAAAAAUCGGGGGCAAGCUUACGGGACGAAUCCGCCGCCACGAGGCGGAACCAAUCUAGGGCUCUAGCAGAGCUAUUCUGCCGGGGACACUUCCCUCCGGGAGGGGGAAAUCAUCACCAACGUCAUCACCAACGAUCCUCUCGUCGGGAGGGGGUCAAUCUCCAUCAACAUCUUCACCAACACCAUCUCCUCUCAAACCCUAGUUCAUCUCUUGUAUCCAAUCUUGUAUCCAAAACCACAAAUUGGUACCUGUGGGUUGCUAGUAGUGUUGAUUACUCCUUGUAGCUGAUACUUAUUGGUUUACUUGGUGGAAGAUCAUAUGUUCAGAUCCUUAAUGCAUAUUAUUACACUUCUGAUUAUAAACAUGAAUAUGCUUUGUGAGUAGUUACGUUUGUUCCUAAGGACAUGGGUGAAGUCUUGCUAUUAGUAGUCAUGUGAAUUUGGUAUUCGUUCGAUAUUUUGAUGAGAUGUAUGUUGUCUUCUCCUCUAGUGGUGUCAUGUGAACGUCGACUACAUGACACUUCACCAUUAUUGGGCCUAGAGGAGGGCAUAAAGAAUUAAUAAGUAGAUGAUGGGUUGCUAGAGUGACAGAAGCUUAAACCCUAGUUUAUGCGUUGCUUCGUUAGGGGCUAAUUUGGAUCCACAUGUUUCAUGAUAUGGUUAGGUUUACCUUAAUACUUUUGUUGUAGUUGCAGAUGCUUGCAAUAGGGGUUAAUCAUAAGUGGAAUGCUUAUCCAAGUAAGGGCAGUACCCAAGCACCGGUCCACCCACAUAUCAAAUUAUCAAAGUACCAAACGUGAAUCAUAUGAACAUGAUGAAAACUAGCUUGACGAUAAUUCCCAGUGUGUCCUCGGGAGCUCCUUUCUCAUUAUUAGAAAUUGUCUAGGCUUAUCCUUUGCUAAAUAAAAGAUUGGGCCACCUUGUUGCACCUUAUUUACUUUAUUUACUUGUUACUCGUUACUAUUUAUCUUAUCAUAAAAUUAUCUAUCACCUACAAUUUCAGUGCUUGCAGAAAACCUUACUGAAAACCGCUUAUCAUUUCCUUCUGCUCCUCGUUGGGUUCGACACUCUUACUUAUCGAAAGGACUACGAUAGAUCCCCUACACUUGUGGGUCAUCAAGACUCUUUUCUGGUGCCGUUGCCGGGGAGUGUAGCGCUUUUGGUGAGUGGAACUUGGUAAGGAAACAUUUAUAUAGUGUGCUGAAAUUUUCUAUUACUUGUCACUAUGGAAACUAAUCCUUUGAGGGGCUUGUUUGGGGUAUCUUCACCCCAACCAAAAGAUCAAAGAGUUGCUCCUCAACCUACUGAACUUUAUGAAAAUAUUAACUUUGAGAUUCCUUCAGGUAUGAUAGAGAAACUGCUAGCUAAUCCAUUUAUAGGAGAUGGAACAUUGCAUCUCGAUUUACACCUUAUCUUUGUGGAUGAAGUUUGUGAAUUAUUUAAGCUUGCAGGUAUUCCCGAUGAUGUUGUCAAAAGGAAGGUCUUCCCUUUAUCUUUGAAGGGAGAUGCAUCGACAUGGUAUAGGCUAUGUGAUGAUACGAGAUCUUGGAAUUAUAAGCGAUUGAAGUUGGAAUUUCACCAGAAGUUGGAAUUAUAAGCAUCGCUCAAGCAUGGGGGAGGCUUAAGUCAAUGUUAUAUUCAUGCCCCAAUCAUGAGCUCUCUCGGGAAAUGAUUAUUCAGAAUUUUUAUGCUCGGCUUUCUCUUGAUAAUCGCAACCUGCUCGAUACUUCCUGUGCUGGUUCUUAUAUGCUGAAGACUAUUGAUUUCAAAUGGGACUUAUUGGAAAGAAUUAAACGCAACUUUGAAGAUUGGGGUUUCGACGAUGGUAAGGAGUCAGGUAUGACACCUAAGUUCGAUUGUGUUAAAUCUUUUAUGGAUACCGAUGCUUUUAGUGGAUUUAGCGCCAAGUAUGGACUUGACUCUGAGAUAGUAGCUACUUUUUGUGAAACUUUUGCUACUCAUGUUGAUCUCCCUAAAGAGAAGUGGUUUAAAUAUAAUCCUCCUAUUGAAGUGAAAGUAGUUGCACCUAUUACAGUCGAAGAAAAGACUAUUACCUAUAGUGAUCCUAUUGUUCCUACUGCUUAUGUUGAAAACCUUCUUUCCCUGUUAGGAUAAAGGAUCAUGCUAAAGCUUCGACUGUUGUUCGUAAGAGUAAUACUAGGACUUAUACACCUCCUGAGCAAAUUAAUGUUGAACCUAGUAUUGCUAUGGUUAAAGAUCUCUUGGAUGAGGACUUAGAUGGGCAUGUCAUUUCUCUGUUGUGAGACUGCUAAUAUUGCUAGGCCAGAUACUAAGACACGUAGACCUGUCGUAGGCACGCCUGUUAUUUCUGUUAAAAUAGGAGAUCAUUGUUAUCAUGGUUUAUGUGAUAUGGGUGCUAGUGCCAGCGCUAUCCCUUAUGAUUUAUAUAAAGAAAUUAUGCACGACAUUGCACCCAUUGAAUUAGAAGACAUUGAUCUUACUAUUAAGCUUGCUAAUAGGGAUACCAUUAAACCUGUUGGGAUUGUUAGAGAUGUUGAAGUUUUGUGUGAGAAGGUUAAAUAUCCUGCUGAUUUUCUUGUUCUUGCUUCCCCACAAGAUGCCUUUUGUCCAAUUAUUUUUUGGUAGACCCUUCUUGAAUACUGCUAGUUCUAAGAUUAAUUGUGAAAAGAAUAUUGUCACUGUUGGCAUAGAUGGUAUGUCUCAUGAGUUUAAUUUUGCUAAGUUUAGUAGACAACCUCGUGAAAGGGAACCACCUAGCAAGGAUGAGAUUAUUGGUCUUGCUUCCAUUGUUGUUCCUCCAACUGAUCCAUUAGAACAAUAUUUGCUAGACCAUGAAAACGAUAUGUUUAUGAAGAAAAGGGAAGAAAUAUAUGAGGUGUUCCUUAAACAGGAACCUAUGCUGAAACCAUUACCUGAUAAUCUCAAGUAUGCUUAUCUUGAUGAAAAAGAAAUAUAUCCUGUUAUUAUUAGUGCUAACCUUUCAGAGAAAAAAGAAGAAAGAUUAUUGAAAACUCUGAAGAAGCACCGAGCAGCUAUUGGAUAUACUCUGGAUGAUCUUAAGGGCAUUAGUCCCACAUUAUGUCAACACAAGAUUUCAGUGGAGAAAGAUGCCAAACCAGUUAGGGAUCCUCAAAAACGAUUAAAUCCCAAGAUGAAGGAAGUGGUAAGAAAGGAGAUACUAAAACUCCUUGAGGCAGGUAUUAUUUAUCCCGUGCUGAUAGUGAAUGGGUAAGCCCUGUCCAUUGUGUCCCUAAAAAGGGAGGUAUUACCGUCGUUCCUAAUGAUAAAGAUGAAUUAAUCCUGCAAAGAAUUAUUACAGGUUAUAGGAUGGUAAUUGAUUUCCGUAAGUUAAAUAACUAAGAAAGAUCAUUACCCUUUACCUUUUAUUGAUCAAAUGCUAGAAAGGCUAUCCAAACACACACAUUUUUGCUUUCUAGAUGGCUAUUCUGGUUUCUCUCAGAUAGCUGUGUCAGCGAAGGAUCAAUCUAAAACUACCUUUACUUGCCCUUUUGGUACUUUUGCUUAUAGACGUAUGCCUUUUGGUUUAUGUAAUGCACCUGCUACCUUUCAAAGAUGCAUGAUGGCUAUAUUCUCUGAUUUUUGUGAAAAUAUUUGUGAGGUAUUCAUGGAUGACUUCUCUGUCUAUGGAUCCUCUUUUGAUGAUUGUUUGAGCAACCUUGAUCGAGUUUUGUAGAGAUGCGAAGACACUAGUCUCAUCCUGAAUUGGGAAAAGUGUCACUUUAUGGUUAAUGAAGGCAUUGUCUUGGGGCACAAGAUCUCCGAGAGAGGUAUUGAAGUUGAUAAAGCCAAAGUUGAUGCUAUUGAAAAGAUGCCAUGUCCCAAGGACAUAAAAGGUAUAAGAAGUUUCCUUGGUCAUGUCGGUUUUUAUAGGAGGUUCAUUAAGGACUUUUCUAAAAUCUCUAGACCUUUGACUAAUUUAUUGCAAAAAGAUAUUCCUUUUGUCUUUGAUGAUGAUUGUGUAGAAGCGUUAGAAGUGCUUAAGAAAGCUUUGAUCACUACACCUAUUGUUCAGCCACCUGAUUGGAAUUUAUCUUUUGAAACUAUGUGUGAUGCUAGUGAUUAUGCUGUAGGUGCUAUUUUAGGGCAAAGAGUUGAUAAGAAAUUAAAUAUUAUCCAGUAUGCUAGUAAGACUCUUGAUACUAGCCAGAGAAAUUAUGCUACCACUGAAAAAGAAUUCUUAGCAGUUGUGUUUGCAUGUGUUAAGUUCAGACCUUAUAUUGUUGAUUCCAAAGUUACUAUUCACACUGAUCAUGCUGCUAUUAAAUAUCUUAUGGAAAAGAAAGAUGCUAAGCCUAGACUCAUUAGAUGGGUUCUCUUGCUCCAAGAGUUUGAUUUGCACAUUAUUGAUUGAAAGGGAGCUGAGAACCCCGUUGCAGAUAACUUGUCUAGGUUAGAGAAUGUUCUUGAUGACCCACUGCUUAUUAAUGAUAGCUUUCCUGAUGAACAAUUAGCGGUCGUUAAUGCUUCUUGUACUGCUCCUUGGUAUGCUGAUUAUGCUAAUUACAUUGUUGCUAAAUAUUUACCGCCUAGUUUCACAUACUAGCAAAAGAAAAAGAUCGUUUAUGAUUUAGGACAUUACUUCUGGGAUGAUCCACACCUUUAUAAAGAAGGAGUAGAUGGUGUUAUUAGACGUUGUGUGCCUGGGCAUGAACAGGAACAAAUUCUACGUAAGUGUCACUCUGAAUCUUAUGGAGGACACCACGCUGGAGAUAGAACUGCACACAAGGUACUACAAUCUGGUUUUUAUUGGCCUACUCUCUUCAAAGAUGCUCGUAAGUUUGUCUUAUCUUGUGAUGAAUGUCAAAGAAUAGGUAACAUUAGUAGACAUCAAGAAAUGCCUAUGAAUUAUUCUCUUGUUAUUGAACCGUUUGAUGUUUGGGGCUUUGACUAUAUGGGACCUUUUCCUGCCUCUAAUGGUUAUACACAUAUUUUAGUUGUUGUUGAUUACGUUACUAAGUGGGUAGAAGCUAUUCCAACUAGUAGUGCUGAUCAUAACACUUCUAUUAAAACGCUUAAAGAAGUUAAUUUUCCGAGGUUUGGAGUCCCUAGAUAUCUUAUGACUGAUGGUGGUUCACAUUUCAUUCAUGGUGCUUUCCAUAAGAUGCUCACUAAGUAUGAUGUCAAUCAUAGAAUAGCAUCUCCUUAUCAUCCGCAGUCUAGUGGUCAAGUAGAGUUGAGCAAUAGAGAGCUCAAAUUAAUUUUGCAAAAGACUGUGAAUAGAUCUAGGAAGAAUUGGUCCAAAAAACAUGAUGAUGCAUUAUGGGCCUAUAGAACUGCAUACAAAAAUCCUAUGGGUGUGUCUCCAUAUAAAAUGGUUUAUGGAAAAGCAUGUCAUUUACCUCUUGAACUUGAACAUAAAGCAUAUUGGGCUAUUAAAGAGCUCAAUUAUGACUUCAAGCUUGCCGGUGAGAAGAGGUUAUUUGAUAUUAGCUCACUUGAUGAAUGGAGAACCCAAGCCUAUGAGAAUGCCAAGCUUUUCAAAGAAAAAGUCAAACGCUGGCAUGAUAAGAGGAUACAAAAGCGUGAGUUUAACGUAGGAGAUUAUGUGCUAUUAUUCAACUCUCGUUUAAGAUUUUUUGCAGGAAAACUUCUCUCAAAAUGGGAAGGUCCCUACGUUAUCGAGGAGGUCUAUCGUUCUGGUGCCAUAAAAAUCAACAACUUCGAAGGCACAAAUCCGAGGGUGGUAAACGGUCAAAGAAUUAAACAUUAUAUUUCAGGUAAUCCUAUCAAUGUUGAAACUAAUAUUAUUGAAACCGUAACCCCUGAGGAAUACAUAAGGGACACUUUCCAGAACAUUCCAGACUCCGAAAAGGCAUAGGUAUGUGGUACGGUAAGUAAACCGACUCCAAAACAACUCCAAUGGCAAUUUUUAUUAGUUUUGGAAUAUUUAAGAAUUUUAGGAAGAAAGAAGUAGUCCGAAAGGGACACGAGGCUCCCAUGAGAGUGGAGGGUGCCCCCCUGUAGGGCGCGCCCCCUGUCUCGUGGGCACCUCGUGUGCCUCCCGGACUCCGUUUUCUUGCACGUUACUGAAGGAAAUAUGCCCUAGAGGCAAUAAUAAAGUUAUUAUUUAUUUCUUCAUAUCAUGAUAAAUGUUUAUUAUUCAUGCUAUAAUUGUAUUAACCGGAAACAUGAUACAUGUGUGAGUACAUAGACAAACUUAAUGUCACUAGUAUGCCUCUACUUGACUAGGUCAUUAAUCAAAGAUGGUUAUGUUUCCUAACCAUAGACAUGUGUUGUCAUUUGAUUAAUGGGAUCACAUCAUUAGGAGAAUGAUGUGAUUGACUUGACCCAUUCCGUUAGCUUAGCAUUGAUCGUUUAGUAUGUUGCUAUUGCUUUCUUCAUGACUUAUACAUGUUCCUACAACUAUGAGAUUAUGCAACUCCCGUUUACCGGAGGAACAAUUUGUGCGCUACUAAACAUCACAACGUAACUGGGUGAUUAUAAAGGAGCUCUACAGGUGUCUUCGAAGGUACAUGUUGGGUUGGCGUAUUUCGAGAUUAGGAUUUGUCACUCCGAUUGUCGGAGAGGUAUCUCUGGGCCCUCUCGGUAAUGCACAUGACUAUAAGCCUUGCAAGCAAUGUAGCUAAUGAGUUAGUUACGGAAUGAUGCAUUACGUAACGAGUAAAGAGACUUGACGGUAACGAGAUUGAACUAGGUAUUGAGAUACCGACGAUCAAAUCUCGGGCAAGUAACAUACCGAUGACAAAGGGAACAACGUAUGUUGUUAUGCGGUGUGACCGAUAAAGAUCUUCGUAGAAUAUGUAGGAGACAAUAUGAGCAUCCAGGUUCCGCUAUUGGUUAUCGACCGGAAACGGUUCUCGGUCAUGUCUACAUAGUUCACGAACCCGUAGGGUCCGCACGCUUAAGGUUUCGAUGACAGUUAUAUUAUGAGUUUAUGAGUUUUGAUGUACCGAAGUUUGUUCGGAGUACCGAAUGUGAUUACGGACAUGACGAGGAGUCUUGAAAUGGUCGAGACAUGAAUAUUGAUAUAUUGGAAGCCUAUAUUUGGAUAUCGGAAGUGUUCCGGGUGAAAUCGGGAUUUUACCGGAGUACCGAGAGGUUACCGGAACCCCCCGGGGGCUUAAUGGACCUACAUGGGCCCUAGUGGAGAGGAAGAGAGGAGGCAAGGGCUGGGCCGCGCACCCCUCCCCCUAGUCCGAAUAGGACAAGGAGAAGGGGGCAGCGCCCCCCCCUUUCCUUCCUCUCUCCCUCCUCCUUCCCCCUUCUCCUACUCCAACUAGGAAAGAAGGUAGUCCUACUCCCGGUGGGAGUAGGACUCACCUUGGCGCGCCCCUCCUUGGCCGGCCGGCCCCUUCCCCUUGGCUCCUUUAUAUACGGGGGCAGGGGAGCACCUCUAGACACAACAAUUGAUCAUUGAUCUCUUAGUCGUGUGCGGUGCCCCCCCCCCCUCCACCAUAGUCCUCCUCGAUAGUAUUGUAGCAGUGCUUAGGCAAAGCCCUGCAACGGUAGAACAUCAAGAUCUUCACCAUGCCGUCAUGCUGACGAAACUCUCCCUUGACACUCGGCUGGAUCGGAGUUCGAGGGAUGUCAUCGAGCUGAACGUGUGCUAGAACUCGGAAGCGUCGUAGUUUCGGUGCUUGAUCGGUCAGGCCGUGAAGACGUACAACUAUAUCAACCGCGUUGUCAUAAUGCUUCCGCUUUUGGUCUACGAGGGUACGUGGACAACACUCUCCCCUCUUGUUGCUAUGCAUCACCAUGAUCUUGCGUGUGUGUAGGAAUUUUUUUGAAAUUACUACGUUCCCUAACAGUGGCAUCCGAGCCUGGUUUUAUGCGUAGAUGUCAUAUGCACGAGUAGAACAUAAGUGAGUUGUGGGCGAUAUAAGUCAUACUGCUUACCAGCAUGUCAUACUUUGGUUCAGCGGUAUUGUGAGAUGAAGCGGCCCGGACCGACAUUACGCGUACGCUUACGCGAGACUGGUUUCACCGCCACGAGCACUAGUUGCUUAAAGGUGACCGGUGGGUGUCUGUCUCUCUCACUUUAGUUGAACCGAGUGUGGCUACGCCCGGUCCUUCCGAAGGUUAAAACAGCACCAACUUGUCAAACUAUCGUUGUGGUUUUGAUGCGUAGGUAAGAACGGUUCUUGCUAAGCCCGUAGCAGCCACGUAAAAUUUGCAACAACAAAGUAGAGGACGUCUAACUUGUUUUUGCAGGGCAUGUUGUGAUGUGAUAUGGUCAAGAUGUGAUGCUAUAUUGUUUUGUAUGAGAUGAUCAUGUUUUGUAACCGAAGUUAUCGGCAACUGGCAGGAGCCAUAUGGUUGUCGCUUUAUUGUAUGAAAUGCAAACGCCCUGUAAUUGCUUUACUUUAUCACUAAGCGGUAGCGGUAGUCGUAGAAGCAAUAGAUGGCGUAACGGCAAUGAUGCUACGAUGGAGAUCAAGGUGUCGCGCCGGUGACGAUGGUGAUCAUGAUGGUGCUACGGAGAUGGAGAUCACAAGCACAAGAUGAUGAUGGCCAUAUCAUAUCACUUAUAUUGAUUGCAUGUGAUGUUUAUCCUUUAUACAUCUUAUCUUGCUUUGAUUGACAGUAGCAUUUUAAGAUGAUCUCUCACUAAUUAUCAAGAAGUGUUCUCCCUGAGUAUGCACCAUUGCGAAAGUUCUUCGUGCUGAGACACCACGUGAUGAUCGAGUGUGAUAGGCUCUACGUUCAAAUACAACGGGUGCAAAACAGUUGCACAUGCAGAAUACUCAGGUUAAACUUGACGAGCCUAGCAUAUACAGAUAUGGACUCGGAACACGAAGACCGAAAGGUUGAACGUGAAUCAUAUAGUAGAUAUGAUCAACAUAGUGAUGUUCACUAUUGAAACUACUCCAUCUCACAUGAUGAUCGGACAUGGUUUAGUUGAUUUGGAUCACGUGAUCACUUAGAUGACUAGAGAGAUGUCUGUCUAAGUGGGAGUUCUUAAGUAAUAUGAUUAAUUGAACUUAAAUUUAUCAUGAACUUAGUACCAAAUAGUAUUUUGCAUGUCUAUGUUUAUUGUAGAUAGAUGGCUCGUGCUGUUGUUCCGUUGAAUUUUAAUGCGUUCCUUGAGAAAGCUAAGUUGAAAGAUGAUGGUAGCAAUUACACGGACUGGGUCCAUAACUUGAGGAUUAUCCUCAUUGUUGCACAAAAGAAUUACGUCCUGGAAGCACCGCUGGGUGCCAGGCCUGCUGCAGAUGCAACUGACAACGUUAAGAACGUCUAGCAGAGCAAAGCUGAUGACUACUCGAUAGUUCAGUGUGCCAUGCUUUAUGGCUUGGAACCGGGUCUUCAACGACAUUUUGAACGUCAUGGAGCAUAUGAGAUGUUCCAAGAGUUGAAGUUAAUAUUUCAAGCAAAUGCCCGGAUUGAGAGAUAUGAAGUCUCCAAUAAGUUCUAUAGCUGUAAGAUGGAGGAGAAUAGUUCUGUCAGUGAACACAUACUCAAAAUGUCUGGGUAUAAUAAUCACUUGAUUCAACUGGGAGUUAAUCUUCCUGAUGAUAGUGUCAUUGACAGAAUUCUUCAAUCACUGCCACCAAGCUACAAAAGCUUCGUGAUGAACUAUAAUAUGCAACGGAUGGACAAGACUAUUCCUGAGCUCUUCGCAAUGCUAAAAGCUGCGGAGGUAGAAAUCAAAAAGGAGCAUCAAGUGUUGAUGGUCAAUAAGACCACCAGUUUCAAGAAAAAGGGCAAAGGGAAGAAGAAGGGGAACUUCAAGAAGAACAGCAAGCAAGUUGCUGCUCAACAGAAGAAGCCUAAGUCUGGACCUAAGCCUGAGACUGAGUGCUUCUACUGCAAGCAGACUGGACACUGGAAGCGGAACUGCCCCAAGUAUUUGGCGGAUAAGAAGGAUGGCAAGGUGAACAAAGGUAUAUGUGAUAUACAUGUUAUUGAUGUGUACCUUACUAAUGCUCGCAGUAGUACCCGGGUAUUUGAUACUGGUUCUGUUGCUAAUAUUUGCAACUCGAAACAGGGACUACAGAUUAAGCGAAGAUUGGCUAAGGACGAGGUGACGAUGCGCGUGGGAAAUGGUUCCAAAGUCGAUGUGAUCGCGGUCGGCACGCUAUCUCUACAUCUACCAUCGAUAUUAGUUUUAGACCUCAAUAAAUGUUAUUUGGUGCCAGCGUUGAGCAUGAACAUUAUAUCUGGAUCUUGUUUGAUGCGAGACGGUUAUUCAUUUAAAUUAAAGAAUACUGGUUGUUCUAUUUAUAUGAGUAAUAUCUUUUAUGGUCAUGCACCCUUGAAGAGUGGUCUAUUUUUAUUAAAUCUCGAUAGUAGUGAUACACAUAUUCAUAAUGUUGAAACCAAAAAAUGCAGAGUUGAUAAUGAUAGUGCAACUUAUUUGUCGCACUGCCGUCUGGGUCAUAUUGGUGUAAAGCGCAUGAAGAAACUCCAUACUGAUGGACUUCUGGAAACACUUGAUUAUGAAUCACUUGGUACUUGCGAACCGUGCCUCAUAGGCAAGAUGACUAAAACGCCGUUCUCCGGAACUAUGGAGCGAUCAACUGAUUUAUUGGAAAUCAUACAUACUGAUGUAUGUGGUCCAAUGAAUAUUGAGGCUCGCGGCGGGUAUCGUUAUUUUCUCACUUUCACAGAUGAUUUGAGCAGAUAUGGGUAUAUCUACUUAAUGAAACACAUGUCUCAAACAUUUGAAAAGUUCAAAGAAUUUCAGAGUGAAGUUGAAAAUCAUCGUAACAAGGAAAUAAAAUUUCUACGAUUUGAUCGUGGAGGAGAAUAUUUGAGUUACGAGUUUGGUUUACAUUUGAAGCAAUGCGGAAUAGUUUCGUAACUCACGCCACCCGGAACACCACAACGAAAUGGUGUGUCCGAACGUUGUAAUCGUACUUUACUAGAUAUGGUGCGAUCUAUAAUGUCUCUUACUGAUUUACCGCUAUCGUUUUGGGGUUAUGCUUUAGAGACGGCCGCAUUCACGUUAAAUAGGGCACCAUCAAAAUCCGUUGAGACGACGCCUUAUGAACUGUGGUUUGGCAAGAAACCAAAGUUGUCGUUUCUUAAAGUUUGGGGCUGCGAUGCUUAUGUGAAGAAACUUCAACCAGAUAAGCUCGAACCCAAAUCGGAGAAAUAUGUCUUCAUAGGAUACGCAAAAGAGGCUAUUGGGUACAACUUCUAUCAUAGAUCUGAGGGCAAGAUUUUUGUUGCUAAAUUCGGAUCCUUUCUAGAGAAGGAGUUUCUCUCGAAAGAAGUGAGUGGGAGGAAAGUAGAACUUGAUGAGGUAACUAUACCUGCUCCCUUAUUGGAAAGUAGUUCAUCACAAGAACCGGUUCCUGUGACAAUUACACCAAUCAACGAGGAAGUUAAUGAUAUUGAUCAUGAAACUUCAGAACAAGUUACUACAGAACCUCGUAGGUCAACCAGAGUAAGAUCCGCACCAGAGUGGUACGGUAAUCCUAUUCUGGAAGUCAUGUUACUUGACCAUGACGAACCUAUGAACUAUGAGGAAGCGAUGAUGAGCCCAGAUUCCGCAAAAUGGCUUGAGGCCAUGAAAUCUGAGAUGGGAUCCAUGUAUGAAAACAAAGUAUGGACUUUGGUUGACUUGCCCGUUGAUCGGCAAGCCAUCGAGAAUAAAUGGAUCUUCAAGAAGAAGACAGACGCUGAUGGUAAUGUAACUAUCUACAAAUCUCUACUUGUUGCUAAAGGUUUUCAAUAAGUUCAAGGGGUUGACUACGAUGAGACUUUCUCACCCGUAGCGAUGCUUAAGUCUGUCUGAAUCAUGUUAGCAAUUGCCGCAUUUUAUGAUUAUGAAAUUUGGCAAAUGGAUGUCAAAACUGCAUUCCUGAAUGGAUUUCUGGAAGAAGAGUUGUAUAUGAUGCAGCCGGAAGGUUUUGUCGAUCCAAAAGGUGCUAGCAAAGUGUGCAAGCUCCAGCGAUCCAUUUAUGGACUGGUGCAAGCCUCUCGGAGUUGGAAUAAAUGCUUUGAUAGUGUGAUCAAAGCAUAUGGUUUUAUACAGACUUUUGGAGAAGCCUGUAUUUACAAGAAAGUGAGUGGGAGCUCUGUAGCAUUUCUGAUAUUAUAUGUAGAUGACAUAUUAUUGAUUGGAAAUGAUAUAGAAUUUCUAGAUAGCAUAAAGGGAUACUUGAAUAAAAGUUUUUCGAUGAAAGACCUCGGUGAAGUUGCUUACAUAUUGGGCAUCAAGAUCUAUAGAGAUAGAUCAAGACGCUUAAUUGGACUUUCACAAAGCACAUACCUUGAUAAAGUUUUGAAAAUGUUCAAAAUUGAUCAGGCAAAGAAAGGGUUCUUACCUGUAGUACAAGGUGUGAAGUUGAGUCAGACUCAAUGCCCGACCACAACAGAAGAUAGAGAGAAAAUGAAAGAUGUUCCCUAUGCUUCAGCCAUAGGCUCUAUCAUGUAUGCAAUGCCGUGUACCAGACCUGACGUAUGCUUAGCAAUAAGUUUGGCAGGAAGGUACCAAAGUAAUCCAGGAGUGGAUCACUGGAUAGCGGUCAAGAACAUCCUGAAAUACCUGAAAAGGACUAAGGAUAUGUUUCUCGUUUAUGGAGGUGACAAAGAGCUAGUCGUAAAUGGUUAUGUCGAUGCAAGCUUUGACACUGAUCCGGACGAUUCUAAAUCACAAACCGGAUACGUGUUUAUAUUGAACGGUGGAGCUGUAAGUUGGUGUGGUUCUAAACAAAGCGUCGUGGCGGGAUCUACAUGCGAAGCGGAGUACAUAGCUGCUUCAGAAGCAGCAAAUGAAGGAGUCUGGAUGAAAGAGUUCAUUUCCGAUCUAGGUGUCAUACCUAGUGCAUCGGGACCAAUGAAGAUCUUCUGUGACAAUACUGGUGCAAUUGCCUUGGCAAAGGAAUCCAGAUUUCACAAGAGGACCAAGCACAUCAAGAGACGCUUCAAUUCCAUAUGGGACCAAGUCCAGGUGGGAGACAUAGAGAUUUUCAAAAUACAUACGGAUCUGAAUGUUGCAGACCUGUUGAUUAAGCCUCUUCCUCGAGCAAAACAUGAUCAGCACCAAGACUCCAUGGGUGUUAAAAUCAUUACUAUGUAAUCUAGAUUAUUGACUCUAGUGCAAGUGGGAGACUGAAGGAAAUAUGCCCUAGAGGCAAUAAUAAAGUUAUUAUUUAUUUCCUCAUAUCAUGAUAAAUGUUUAUUAUUCAUGCUAUAAUUGUAUUAACCGGAAACAUGAUACAUGUGUGAAUACAUAGACAAACUUAAUGUCACUACUAUGCCUCUACUUGACUAGGUCAUUAAUCAAAGAUGGUUAUGUUUCCUAACCAUAGACAUGUGUUUUCAUUUGAUUAACGGGAUCACAUCAUUAGGAGAAUGAUGUGAUUGACUUAACCUAUUCCGUUAGCUUAGCACUUGAUCGUUUAGUAUGUUGCUAUUGCUUUCUUCAUGACUUAUACAUGUUCCUACAACUAUGAGAUUAUGCAACUCCCGUUUACUGGAGGAACAAUUUGUGUGCUACCAAACGUCACAACGUAACUGGGUGAUUAUAAAGGAGCUCUACAGGUGUCUCCGAAGGUACAUGUUGGGUUGGCGUAUUUCGAGAUUAGGAUUUGUCACUCCGAUUGUCGGAGAGGUAUCUCUGGGCCCUCUCGGUAAUGCACAUCACUAUAAGCCUUGCAAGCAAUGUAGCUAAUGAGUUAGUUACGGAAUGAUGCAUUACGUAACGAGUAAAGAGACUUGCCGGUAACGAGAUUGAACUAGGUAUUGAGAUACCGACGAUCAAAUCUCGGGCAAGUAACAUACCGAUGACAAAGGGAACAACGUAUGUUGUUUUGUGGUGUGACCGAUAAAGAUCUUCGUAGAAUAUGUAGGAGCCAAUAUGAGCAUCCAGGUUCCGCUAUUGGUUAUUGACCAGAAACGGUUCUCGGUCAUGUCUACAUAGUUCUCGAACCCGUAGGGUCCGCACGCUUAAGGUUUCGAUGACAGUUAUAUUAUGAGUUUAUGAGUUUUGAUGUACCAAAGUUUGUUUGGAGUCCCAAAUGUGAUUACGGACAUGACGAGGAGUCUUGAAAUGGUCGAGACGUGAAGAUUGAUAUAUUGGAAGCCUAUAUUUGGAUAUCGGAAGUGUUCCAGGUGAAAUCGGGAUUUUACCGGAGUAGCGGGAGGUUACCGGAACCCCCCGGGGGCUUAAUGGGCCUACAUGGGCCCUAAUGGAGAGGAAGAGAGGAGGCAAGGGCUGGGCCACGCACCCCUCCCCCCUAGUCCGAAUAGGACAAGGAGAGGGGGGCGGCGCCCCCCCUUUCCUUCCUCUCUCCCUCCUCCUUCCGCCCUUCUCCUACUCCAACUAGGAAAGAAGGGAGUCCUACUCCCGGUGGGAGUAGGAAUCCCCUUGGCGCGCCCCUCCUUGGCCGGCCGCCCCCUCCCCCUUGGCUCCUUUAUAUACGGGGGCAGGGGGCACCUCUAGACACAACAAUUGAUCAUUGAUCUCUUAGCCGUGUGCGGUGCCCCCCUCCACCAUAGUACUCCUCGAUAAUAUUGUAGCGGUGCUUAGGCGAAGCCCUGCGACGGUAGAACAUCAAGAUCGUCACCACGCCAUCGUGUUGACGGAACUCUCCCUCGACACUCGGCUAGAUCGGAGUUCGAGGGACGUCAUCGAGCUGAACGUGUGCUAGAACUCGGAGGUGCCGUAGUUUCGGUGCUUGAUCGGUCGGGCCGUGAAGACAUACGACUACAUCAACCGCGUUGUCAUAACGCUUCCGCUUUCGGUCUAUGAGGAUACGUGGACAACACUCUCCCCUCUCGUUGCUAUGCAUCACCAUGAUCUUGCGUGUGCGUAGGAAUUUUUUUGAAAUUACUAUGUUCCCUAACAAUUACGUAUUUUGGUCAGUAAAAAUUCAUUAUAUAUACUCCCGAAGGUUUUGACCACCGUAUCACGCAAAUUUCCUCUAUUUUCGUUUCGAGUUGUUCCUGUUGCAAAAUUAAGCAAGACGUCUUCUCAGGAGUCAGUUGGGGAGAGCCGGGUGUCUCACCCAAUGCUAGGUCCAGGAGCGAAUAGCGACGCCUACCACUUUGGACCAUCAAUGGAGGAUGAGAUGGAGGCUGAUUUGAAAAGGAUAGAUGCCAUGGAAGAAGAUCAAGAAGUCACCUCUCAUCUCCGAGCAGAAUUCAUGAUAGGGGAACUACCGAGCGUGGUUGUUCCAACUUCGGUCAUCCCUUCCAAUUCUAAAUUUCUUUCUUAUGAAAAUAUGAAAAAGAGUUUCACUUAUUCUCCAGAAGCUAUGCAACAUCCUUGGGUAAAAGGAGCUUUGGCCAUUACGGGUAAGCUCCGUGAAGAGUUUAUGGAUAUCAAACAACAAGUCAAUAAGCUCGAGGAGGAGAACCGCAUCCUGAAGGGCAUCAUCGCCAAGAAGAUCAUAACACCAACCGUGAAGAAGGAGAAAUAAUCACAUGGGUAUGGGCACUCCCCUUGGCAACUGCCAAGCUUGGGGGAGGUGCCCCGGUAUCGUAUCACCAUCACACUCCUAUCUUUAUCGCUUUAUUUAGUUCGAUCCUUUUAGUAGUAUCUUGAUCUAGUAGAUUGAAGUUUUGAUAUCAAGUAGUUUGAGUUUUGCUUCGUGAUCUCUUUUUGUAUUCGAGCCUGUGAGUUAUCUAUAAUAAAGAUUAGUGUUGAGUCAAGCGCUUUGCUAUCUGCUAUGAUCUUGAGAAAGUAGAAAGAAUAAAAGAGUUCAUAUUGAUCUUAUGGAUAGUGAUAACUUCACACAUAGAAAGUAUGAGGCAUAAAAGUUGUUGGGAGUUGAUGAACGUAGCCUUGGUCAUCAUUGCAAUUAAUAGGAAGUAAUAAGGGAAGAGAGGUUCGCAUAUAAAUACACUAUCUUGGACAUCUUUUAUGAUUGUGAGCACUCAUUAAGUAUGGCAUGCUAAAAGAGUUGACGGUGGACAAGGAAGACAACGUAAUGGUUUAUGUUUUCUCACAUCUCAGUUAAAGUAUGUUGUCAUUGACCUUCCGAACAUGUUGAGCUUGCCUUUCCCCCUCAUGCUAGCCAAAUUCCUAGCACCAAGUAGAAAUACUACUUGUGCUUCCAAAUACCCUUAAACCCAAUCUUGCCAUGAGAGUCCACCAUAUCUACCUAUGGAUUGAGUAAGAUCCUUCAAGUAAGUUGUCAUCGGUGCAAGCAAUGAGAAUUGCUCUCUAAUUAUGUAUGACUUAUUAGUGCGGAGAAAAUAAGCUUUGUAUGAACUUGUUGUGGAAGUAAUAAAAGCGACGGACUGCAUAAUAAAGGUCCACACACAAGGGGCAAUAUAAAGUGACGUUCUUUUGCAUUAAGAUUUUAUGCAUCAACCCUAAAAGCGCAUGACAACCUCUGCUUCCCUCUGCGAAGGGCCUAUCUUUUACUUCAUGUUUUUACUUUAUGCUUUUAUUUUGCGCUUGAGUCAAGGUGAUCUCCACCUUUCCCUUUUUCAUUUUAUCCUUUGGCAAGCUCUUCAUGUUUGAAAGAUCAUGAUAUACAUAUCCAAUUGGAUCUUCGUUAGCAUGGGCUAUUAUUGUUGACAUCACCUAAAGGUGAAUACGUUGGGAGGCAACACAAUAAGCCCCUAUCUUUCUCAGUGUCCAGCUGAAACUCCAUAACCACAAGUAUUGCGUGAGUGUUAGCGAUUGUAGAAGACUAUAUGAUAGUUGAGUAUGUAGACUUGCUAGAAAGCUCUAUUGUUGACUCUUUCUGAUGUUACGAUAAAUUGCAAUUGCUUCAGUGACUGAGAUUAUAGUUUGUUAGUUCCCAAUGAAGUUUCUGAACCAUACUUGACAUUGUGAAUUGCUUGUUACUUGAGCAUAGGAAAUCAUAUGACAAAAUCUAUAUAUGUUGCUGUUAUUAGAAUGAUCAUGACGCCGUCAUGUCCGUAUUUUAUUUUUAUCGACACCUCUAUCUCUAAACAUGUGGAUAUAUUUUUCGAUUUCGGCUUGCGCUUGAGGACAAGCGAGGUCUAAGCUUGGGGGAGUUGAUACGUCCAUUUUGCAUCAUGCUUUUAUAUCAAUAUUUAUAGCAUUAUGGGCUGUUAUUACACAAUAUAUCUCAUUACUUAUGGCUAUUCUCUCUUAUUUUACAAGGUUUACCAUGAAGAGGGGGAAUGCCGGCAGCUGGAAUUCUGGCUAGAAAAGGAGCAAACAUUGGAAAUCUAUUCUGCACAACUCCAAAAGUCCUGAAACUCCACGAAACAACUUUUUGGGAUUUAUAAGAAUUUCUGAGCGAAAGAAAUAGGCCAGGGGGCCCACACCCUGUCCAGGAGACAGCCCCCCCUAUAGGUCGCGCCCCCUAUCUCCUGGGCCCCCUGGUGGGCCUCCGGCAUCCAUCUUCUGCUAUAUCAUCACUUUUACCCUGGAAAAAAUCAGGGGCAAGCUUACGGGACGAAACUCCGCCGCCACGAGGCGGAACCAAUCUAGGGCUCUGGCAGAGCUGUUCUGCCGGGGACACUUCCCUCCGGGAGGGGGAAAUCAUCACCAAUGUCAUCACCAACGAUCCUCUCGUCGGGAGGGGGUCAAUCUCCAUCAACAUCUUCACCAGCACCAUCUCCUCUCAAACCCUAGUUCAUCUCUUGUAUCCAAUCUUGUAUCCAAAACCACAAAUUGGUAUCUAUGGGUUGCUAGUAGUGUUGAUUACUCCUUGUAGUUGAUACUCAUUGGUUUACUUGGUGGAAGAUCAUAUGUUCAGAUCCUUAAUGCAUAUUAUUACACCUCUGAUUAUGAACAUGAAUAUGCUUUGUGAGUAGUUACGUUUGUUCCUGAGGACAUGGGUGAAGUCUUGCUAUUAGUAGUCAUGUGAAUUUAGUAUUCGUUCGACAUUUUGAUGAGAUGUAUGUUGUCUUCUCCUCUAGUGGUGUCAUGUGAACGUCGACUACAUGACACUUCACCAUUAUUGGGCCUAGAGGAUGGCAUAGGGAAGUAAUAAGUAGAUGAUGGGUUGCUAGAGUGACAAAAGCUUAAACCCUAGUUUAUGCAUUGCUUCGUUAGGGGAUGAUUUGGAUCCACAUGUUUCAUGCUAUGGUUAGGUUUACCUUAAUACUUUUAUUGUAGUUGCAGAUGCUUGCAAUAGGGGUUAAUCAUAAGUGGGAUGCUUGUCCAAGUAAGGGAAGUACCCAAGCACCGGUCCACACACGUAUCAAAUUAUCAAAGUACCGAACGCGAAUCAUAUGAACGUGAUGAAAACUAGCUUGAUGAUAAUUCCCAAUGUGUCCUCGGGAGCUCCUUUCUCAUUAUUAGAAAUUGUCCAGGCUUAUCCUUUGCUAAGUAAAGGAUUGGGCCACCUUGGUGCACCUUAUUUACUUUAUUUACUUGUUACUCGUUACUAUUUAUCUUAUUAUAAAACUAUCUAUCACCUACAAUUUCAGUGCUUGCAGAAAACCUUACUGAAAACCGCUUAUCAUUUCCUUCUGCUCCUUGUUGGGUUCGACACUCUUACUUAUUGAAAGGACUACGAUAGAUCCCCUACACUUGUGGGUCAUCAGACAUCUGGAGGCUGCUUUUGAAGGCCUAGAAGUCUUGGUCAGAGACGACUGACGACAUCGGCCUCGACUGUGUUCAUCCAGCCUCCCCGAUAAGUUUUUAGUUUCCGAACAUAACUUAGUUUAGAAAUCGAAGGGGUAUACUGAGACUUCCAUCCUUUAAUCAGGGUUGGACGAAGAAGGCGGAGCGGAUCAAGUGUCCGGCUCCGCUGCCCAAAAACCCAGCUGAUCCUCUGUUGACGAGGAUGCUGGUCCCGGCACCGUACCAGGCGCCGGAGAAGAAGGCCAGGAAGAAGGGCAAGGAGGCCAAAGACGGCCCCCGCCGUAAAGGUACUCCGGACGCUGUGUCCAGGGAUUCCGAAGCUCUCUCCUCCCACGCAGGAGAUGAAGACGAAAAGGAGGAGGAGGGAGAGAGCGAUUCUCCCCUUAAGGGGAGGAAGAAGAAAAGAACGGCCUAUGCAGACCUAGAGGCGGAGGCACCCAAGAGGAAGGAGAUGCCCCUUUCGGAUGACUCGGAUUCGGAUGCCGAAGUCAUCGGCGCCCCAGGUCGAAGCCCCUGGCCGAUUCGUAAGUAUCCAAGGAUGCCUUACAUAUAUCAGCAUUUCAUGAUUGCAAUUUUUAAUACAUUAUAUUGUGUGUUUCAGUCCAUCCCGCGAUCUCCCCCAACUAUCAUCAUCUCCAGGGAACUUGCUGGAGCCGGGGAUGGUGGAGAGCGAGACGCCUCCGCGGGCCUCUCCUCCAAUCGCUACGGACGACACCAAAUUUUUAUCUCGAAGAGCCCCUCCAGGCCAUGGGAAGGCGCGGGAGGCUGCCAAGACGGCGCCGGAGCGGUAGCGAGAACUGCGGGUCUGCCGUGAUGUGUUCGGCUUGAAGUGCCUAAUCGGAUCUGCUAAGUGCAGACCUCGGCAGUUUGACGUGGUUGCCCAGAGCCAGGUUUAGGCCUGUGUCUGGGUCUUCAGAAGGGGGUUCGAUUAGGGAGAGAAGUCUGGUGGGGUUUAAGCUCCCGUCUUCGGACGGUGAGACCAGCCCCAGAUCCAAGGCCGAGGCGAGUGCCGGUGUUGUCCUCUGGACGGGAUCCGACGGGAGAUCCGAAGAGACUUCUUGGAUGGGACGCAGAGUGGCGGCCGAGGCCGCAGACCCAUCAAAAACGAGAUCUCCUGACCUGAUCUGAUGACCGGGGCGUAGCUGUCGACCUGCUCAAGGAGGCCGAUCAGGUUGGCUCGAAGCACAAAGCCACCGAAUACAAAAACCUGCCCGGGAAGAAAAGUCUCCCUGGACACAGCAUCAUCGUUGACGAAAAGGCGAGCCAUUGAUCCUUCUGUCGAUGAUACAACGGAGCUCUCAAUGAAAGCACCAAUGUCGGUGUCAAAACCGGCAGAUCUCAGGUUGGGGAGCCCAAGCUGUACGUGUGAAGAUCGAUGGUAACAGUGGAGAAGGGACACGAUGUUUACCCAGAUUCGGGCCCUCUUAAUGGAGGUAAAACUCUACUCCUGCUAGAUUAUAUUUGAGGGUAUAGAGGUUACAAGAGUUGAUCUACCAUGAGAUCGAUUCGGCUAACCCUAACUAGCUAGCCUAACAAUAUUGUCUUCCUGCCUCCGUUCUACCCUCCAAUUUAUAUAGACACCAAAGGGGAUUAGGGUUUGUACAAGGUCGGUUUUUACAGAAAGGAAUAAUAUAUCCGGAUACAUAUACUUGCCAUCCACGCAUAGGAGAGUCCCCACCGGAUACGGGAGAGAAUCUUCGGUCUUGUAUCUUGAUGACCCAUCGAUCCAACCCACAUCAGCAGAUCGGGCGCCCGAGGACCCCUAAUCCAAGACUCCCACAGCGGUAGCGCGCGCUAAAAGUACUAAUUUUUCAACGCGGCGUUUAUAUAGCGCGGUUGUUGGAGAUGCUUUGAAGCUCAAAAAAAAAAGAAAAAAGAAGAUGAUGAUGAUGAAGCAAAUGGCACAAAUUCUCACAUGGCCACGUGAGUAGGAGAGGAACUGACACGUGAUGCACACAUGACACAUCACACCAGCGGUUGUGGCGAGGCAGCAUCGUUGUCCAAACCAGACCUCGCCAGAGAAUCCAACUCUCAACGCUCUGUAUUAUAGUCGUACAGUACCAAAUAAUAGUAAAUGUUCCCGCAAGAAAAAAAGUAGUAAAUGUACAAAAAUCAGAUGACCGUUACAACCUUUUACUAAUCCAUUCAGUGAUGCGAUCACAGAUUUGGGCCGUCUAUAUUUAACCACCAUCCAUUACUAGAACAAAACACACACACACACACCAACAUUACUCUGUCUGUACCCAAUGGGCUGGGUUCAGGUACGAUUAUUGGUCCAUCAAUGUCGGUUCAUGUUGUCGCAUCACAUCACACCAGCCAGCCGUGAUCGGUGCGGCACCGUCGCAUUUGCUACGACACGAAGAGAGCACCGGUGCAAGCCACUGAAGCCAGGACGAGCGAGCCGACGGGUGAUCAUCAUAUGACAUGGUCGGUACAGGGAGAAAGGAACGAGCCUGCCAUGGCUUUGAUUGCGUCCGUCGCGCGCGCGCGCACUGCUGGCUAAUCCGCCACCGGCGACGCUAGUCCACCAUUGAUGGUCACCGCACUGCUACGUGACACCGACCGACCUUAAAAGCGCCGUCGCCCACCGCGCCGCCUAAGCAUGAACAUCAAACACGAGACCUAUCUACCGAUGAACACAUUGUACAUCAUGACCACUAAGCACACUCCAAUCUUGCAUGCCUAUGAACAUUACUAGGCAUGCACAUCAAACACAGAACAAGCAUGAACACUAUCCUGCCUAUGAACAGUACCACACAAGAUGGGAUUGAAUCCAAUCCAUUCGAUUGGAUCGAAUCAAAUCAAAAUCGAUUCAUUGGCAAUGCUAAUAAUGAAAACCCUAAUCUACAAAUCUAUGAGCAUACGGAGAUUUGAUUCUUACUGGAGCGGGUGUAGCUCGAGCGUAUGCCAACCGGGGAGAAAACCUCGGCGGGAAGGAGAUGGCGGGCGAAGAGGAGGAGGAGACGCCAAAGCCGACGACCGUCGGCAUUGGCCCGAUGCUCUUGGCCACACACACGGUCGAGGAGGAGGGUGCCGUCGUCCAUGGGCCUGCCGCGAUGCCCGGAGAAAACCCUUGGAUGGGGGUAAAAAACCACCCUCACCCACAGGGGGUCUGAGCAGUGGCGCGGGGGCGGGGCCACCGAACCCAGGACCACGAGGUCCAGUAACAGCGGCGGACCUGGAGCGGCCGGCACCGCAUUGACCAGAGGAGGCGUCCUGGUGCAGAUAGGAGACGGCACGUGCAGAGCCCGCAUGAGAGCGACCCCGGAGUUCACUAAGCCAGCAACCCACCCGCUUGUGGAUGCGGGUGUUUGCCGGCGCUGAUGGGGCUCAGAGGACGGCGCGGCGGUGGACGACUCAUCGGAGGAGAGGAGAGCAACGGGUGAUGAGAGGAGAGUGGGGAAGCGUGGUGUGAAAGGGAGUGGGCGGUGACGAGAGAGAGAGAGAGNNNNNNNNNNNNNNNNNNNNNNNNNNNNNNNNNNNNNNNNNNNNNNNNNNNNNNNNNNNNNNNNNNNNNNNNNNNNNNNNNNNNNNNNNNNNNNNNNNNNNNNNNNNNNNNNNNNNNNNNNNNNNNNNNNNNNNNNNNNNNNNNNNNNNNNNNNNNNNNNNNNNNNNNNNNNNNNNNNNNNNNNNNNNNNNNNNNNNNNNNNNNNNNNNNNNNNNNNNNNNNNNNNNNNNNNNNNNNNNNNNNNNNNNNNNNNNNNNNNNNNNNNNNNNNNNNNNNNNNNNNNNNNNNNNNNNNNNNNNNNNNNNNNNNNNNNNNNNNNNNNNNNNNNNNNNNNNNNNNNNNNNNNNNNNNNNNNNNNNNNNNNNNNNNNNNNNNNNNNNNNNNNNNNNNNNNNNNNNNNNNNNNNNNNNNNNNNNNNNNNNNNNNNNNNNNNNNNNNNNNNNNNNNNNNNNNNNNNNNNNNNNNNNNNNNNNNNNNNNNNNNNNNNNNNNNNNNNNNNNNNNNNNNNNNNNNNGUGAAGGAAAUAUGCCCUAGAGGCAAUAAUAAAGUUAUUAUUUAUUUCCUUAUAUCAUGAUAAAUGUUUAUUAUUCAUGCUAGAAUUGUAUUAACCGGAAACAUGAUACAUGUGUGAAUACAUAGACAAACUGAGUGUCACUAGUAUGCCUCUACUUGACUAGCUCGUUUAUCAAAGAUGGUUAUGUUUCCUAGCCAUGGACAAAAGAGUUGUCAUUUGAUUAACAGGAUCACAUCAUUGAGAGAAUGAUGUGAUUGACUUGACCCAUUCCGUUAGCUUAGCACUUGUUCGUUUAGUAUGUUGCUACUGCUUUCUUCAUGACUUAUACAUGUUCCUGUGACUAUGAGAUUAUGCAACUCACGUUUACCGGAGGAACACUUUGUGUACUACCAAAUGUCACAACGUAACUAGGUGAUUAUAAAGGUGCUCUACAGGUGUCUCCGAAGGUACUUGUUGGGUUGGCGUAUUUCAAGAUUAGGAUUUGUCACUCCGAUUGUCGGAGAGGUAUCUCUGGGCCCACUCGGUAAUGCACAUCACUAUAAGCCUUGCAAGCAAUGUGACUAAUGAGUUAGUCACGAGAUGAUGCAUUGCAUAACGAGUAAAGAGACUUGCCGGUAACGAGAUUGAACUAGGUAUUGAGAUACCGACGAUCGAAUCUCGGGCAAGUAACAUACCGAUGACAAAGGGAACAACGUAUGUUGUUAUGCGGUUUGACCGAUAAAGAUCUUCGUAGAAUAUGUGGGAGCCAAUAUGAGCAUCCAGGUUCUGCUAUUGGUUAUUGACCGGAAACGUGUUUCGGUCAUGUCUACAUUGUUCUCGAACCCGUAGGGUCCGCACGCUUAAGGUUUCGAUGACAGUUAUAUUAUGAGUUUAUGAGUUUUGAUGUACCGAAGGAGUUCGGAGUCCCAGAUGAGAUCGGGGACAUGACGAGGAUCUCAAAAUGGUCGAGACAUAAAGAUCGAUAUAUUGGACGACUACAUUCGGAGUUCGGAAAGGUUCCGAGUGAUUCGUGUAUUUUUCAGAGUACCGGAGAGUUACGGGAAUUCGCCAGGGAGUAUAUGGGCCUUAUUGGGCUUUAGGGGAAAGAGAGAGGAGAGGUGGGCGCCCCCCAAGGCCUAGUCCGAAUUGGACUAGGGGGAGGGGCUGCGCCCCCUCCUUCCUUCUCUUCUCUUCCCCCUUUCCUUGACUCCUACUCCUACUACUUGGAAGGGGGGGAAUCCUACUCCCGGUGGGAGUAGGACUCCUCCUUGGCGCGCCUCCUCUUGGCCGGCCGCCCCCUCCCCCUUGAUCCUUUAUAUACGGGGGCAAGGGGGCACCUCUAGGCACAACAACAAUUGAUCAUUGAUCUCUUAGCCGUGUGCGGUGCCCCCCUCCGUUCUCAAAUAUUUGUCUUUGUAGUCAUUUCAAAUGGACACAACAUACGAAUGUAUGAGACAUAUUUUAGAGUAUAGAUUCACUCAUUUUGCUCCGUACGUAGUCACUUGUUGAUAUCUCUAGAAAGACAAAUAUUUCGAAACGGAGGAAGUACUAUUAUAAUAAUACGUACAAGUACCAAAGAGUACAUGUACAAAAAUCAGAUGACCGUUACAACCUUUUACUAAUCCAUUCAGUGAUGCGAUCACAGAUUUGGGCCGUCUAUAUUUAAUCACCAUCCACAAAUCCAUUAGUACUAGAACAAAACAAAACACACACACACACACAAAACAUGAUGGGUUCAGGUACAAUUAUUAGUCCAUCAAUGUCUGCUCAUGCUGUCGCAUCACAUCACACCACACCAGCCAGCCGUGACCGGUGCGGCACCGCAGCAUUUGCUGCGACACGAAAAGGGCACCGGUGCAAGCCACUGAAGCCAGGACGAGCGAGCCGACGGGUGAUCAUCAUCAGACACGGUCGGUACAGGGAGAAAGGAACGAGCCUGCCAUGGCUUUGAUUGCGUCCGUCGCGCGCGCGCGCACUGCUGGCUAGUUCGCCACCGGCGACGCUAGUGAGUCCACCAUUGAUGGUCGCCGCACUGCUACGUGACCCCGACCGACCUUAAAAGCGCCGCCGCCCAACGCGCCGCAGGGAACACGAGUUCAAUAAUGCCACAUUUCCCUAGACCGUGAGCUUUAACCUGACAUCUGCUAGCACAAAGCAUGCAAAUUACAGGAGCAAGCAGGCUAAAAGUGUUGUUAUACCAGUAGAUCAGACAUGCUAAUUCAACCCUAUGGCCUAUCGCCGAAAGUUUUUGUAGUAAAAAAAAGGAGGAGGAGAGUGAGCGAGUGAGUUUACCAUGAAAAGCAGUCACUGAAAAACAAAGAUGAUGGUUGGCCAGCGGCAGCGCGGCAGUGGCAGCCAUCAGUACACAGGACACAGCACGCGGCUGCCGCACCUGGCUGGCGAGCAUGGCCAUGGCAAUGGCAGUGCACUGGCAGUUCCAACGAGACAACAGUCUAGUUUUAUCGCUUAGCCCCCCUGGGCCAUUCCUUGCGCUGUGCCGUGUCCGGUGUCCCGUGUGCGGCCGUGCAGCUGCCCCCGGACCACCACCUCACGUGACAUUCCGCUGACGCGCGGGGCCGCCUACCACGUGCGUGAGAGAGGAGGUUGGGUUGGGUGUAAACGCAACGCGGUAGUACUAGUAUGAACAGUCGAUCGGUCAGGAAAGAUUCGCGCCAAGUCAAAGCUGCUCCGACGCCGCCGGGCCCCGCGCGAGCAGGCUCAGGCUGACACCGGACGGCGCGUAGCCCACCCACGAGUUCGUCCGUCCGUCCGUCAGCCGGGCCAGGCCCGCUGCCGCUGCAGCGAGGGCGAGGCGGGUGGGGCCCAUGAGCGUCGCGUCGGUGUGUACUGUGUAGCAAGGAGCAGUGCACUGAAAAAACAAAAUCGAAUGUGAAACGUGACGGCGGGAAGUUUUCGCCGUACUCUCUCCGUCGGCGCAGGAGGAGGAGCACCCACGGCGGCCGGCCCGUGCGCAUCUCGUCGGGCGCUCGCACGGCCGGCCCGGGCCCGGCCCGAGAACAAAAGUACAAGACCCACCGAGGAAGGAAUGUGGAGGAAGUAGUAGAGCAUCAUCUUCCUGCCUCCCACCCACGCGCCAUUUUUAAUCCGCGGAGAGAGAGGGAAGCCCCGCGCACCCCGCCCCGCUCCACUCAACUGCCCCCGCACUGGCGCCGUCCUCGGGGAAUGCGGCCGCGCGGCCGACCAUGCCACGCGCCGCGCCCGGGCUAGGGUUCCCCGCCGCAGCCGCCGACCCAGCGCCCGAGCGCCGCCACCCUCCGUCCUCCCGGCGGAAGAAGCCGCCGCCGCGCCGAAGGCGCCCCGCACCGCCAACGCCACCCGCGGUAAAAACCCUCUCCCCCCUAUCUAUCCCUCUUCCUCAUUGCGUCCACAUUGCCGUCUCAGGCCGGCCGCUCGCCGGAUUAUUUUACUGCUGCGAGUCAAUAGAUCCAAUCCAGAGCACGUCGCCGCACAUGCCCGCCGCCGAGGGCAGUCGAACUUCGAAAGUCGAAACACUCCGCGUAAGCAAGGGAUAAGGCCAAAAGAAAUUCGAACGGGGCUACCGCGUGCGUGGCCACGGCCUGCGUCGUCGCUUUUCUAUCAUUGCUGGCUCUUUUGUUCCGUUGCGUCGCCUUUUUUCCCGUUCGCUGUUUGGCGGUGACUGUGCCGUGCCCUGCCCGAGCUUGCUCGGUGGGUCGGUGCUCCGUCCCGGAUUUCGGUUUGCUGAGAGGGACGCUCCCUUUGUUUGGCUCCUUUUGCAGCCGCCGGAGGGGCCACGCGGUGCAGCCGAUCCAGAUCCGGGCCUCCUCCACCCCCGCGGCGGCAGCCACGCCUCGCGCGCCACAGCUCCCAGAGGUGGGUCAAGCGAUCCCAGUGCCCAGCACGCUCCGCAUUUUGUCUCCUCCUGCCGUCGCGGCAGCUAACCCCUUUCACACGCGCGCAGGCGAGGACGGCGACGACGACGAGGACGAGGGAGGCUACGACGCGGCGGGCUUGGAGGAGGCGGCGGCCGGCGACUCCUUCUCCCACUCGCUGAAAGGUAAUCCACUCCCCUCCCGCUCUACAUGAUGCCUUUGGUGUCGAGUGAAGUGAAGUGAUUGCUUACUGUUUGUUGGCUGUUCAGCAGAGUGCCAGAAGCAGCUGCAGCGCAGGGCGGAGGCGCGGCCGCCGGCGCCCGCGCAUGAGCUCGGCAACGGCGACGCGUUCGGGGGGAUCGAGCUGCUCGUGCUCUCGCCGAGGUGCUUGCUCGGGGCUGCCGUGGGAGGGAUGAGCAAGAGCUCGACCGCGUCGUCCAGAAGCAGAUCAGGCACGUUUCCGAGCCCCGGGACGCCCAACUACAACCGGCAUUGCGCUGGCAACAUGCAGUACCCCAAGGGCUGGAGCUCGGAGCGGGUGCCGCUGGGGGCAGGCGCCAACAGGAGGUAUGGGGGCAGCGGGGUCGUGCUCCCUUUCAACAAUGGGAGGAAGCUGCCGUCGAAAUGGGAGGACGCCGAGAAGUGGAUCCUGAGCCCGGUUUCCUGUGAUGGGAUGGGGAGGAUGUCGGCACCGGCGCCGCAUCAUAGACGGCCAAAGUCCAAGAGUGGGCCGCUUGGUCACCCUGCUGGUGUUCCAGGAGCUUAUGCAUCUGUUUCGCCGAUGAUUCCCUGCUUCGAUGGUGUUCUGGCGGCCGCUAAUUUUGCGGCUCAUUCGCCUUUCUCUGCCGGGGUUCUCAUGCCAGGGCACGCGCGCAACGGUGACUUCAGCAGUGGGAGAGCCAGAAGUGGGGAUGAUGGAAGCAGUAGGUCGUAUUCGGCUGAGAAGGAACCGUAUAUAUGGAGAUCAGCAAGUACACACGCGUGGACAGAAACACUUAUGGAGGCAUCUGCCUUUGCUCAUAUCUCAGAGGAAGCUGCACAAGGUUUGAGCUAGUUUCUUCUCAUCAGUAUCAAGCACAUUUUUGCUACUUCACAUUUUAUCUGCCUGAUUAGAUGCAACAAGAGAAGAUACUCAUAUAACGUACGGAUUCGAUCAUAAGAUAGAACUCCUACACAUGCCAAUACAUUGAAGUUGAACAAUUAGCAGAUUCUACAUUUCAACCCUGCAAUCGUCGUGUACCUCAAAUCAUACAUCACUUUUGGUUUACAUAGUUUGGACAUUCAAAAAGGCUUUCCCACAAUCAUAUAUAUGAAUGGUAGGGUGCAAGAAGUCUGUUAUUUGCCCCUUAAAAAAACCAGACGAAUAGCAGUAGUUUAGAAACCUAAAACAACGCUAUCGUGUGCCAUAGUUAUCUACUUUUCCUGCUCAAAUAAACUAGUUUCGAGUUUAUUUUAACCUGUAAUGCUCAAAUGAUCUUCAACGUUGAGAGAAAUCAGCCUUACUAUCUUAUACCCUGUACACAGAUGAUGUCUUACAAGGCCAACAAGGAGCAACUCCUGUGAUUUCCAGUCCAAUCAUAAAGAAAGAUGUUGCCACACAAAUGAGUCCUGAUGACAGUAUAAUAUCGUCCUCCCCAAAAGCGAGGCAUUCCUGCUCCAGCUUGCCGUCAGGACAUGCUAUUAGAGAAUCAAAUAGUCAUACACCUAAGGUUGAAGUUAGGGAUGUGCAGGUAGAUGAUCAAGUAACUGUUACCCGGUGGUCCAAGCGACAUGUAACACGAGGCUCUGAUAAGCGAUCAACAAAUAUUGUUGAAUGGAGGAAGAAGACUACAGAGGCCCGGGCUCCAUCUUUUGAUGAAAAAGAAAGAGAAAGAUGCAUAUCAAAGUAAGUUCUUACUUCAUGUUUGCCAUUUUGUUUACAAGUAAACUGAUUUGGAUUAGCACGAAGGCAUGCGCAGAGAAGAGAGUGCUUUCACUGUAGUGUUAUAACUGUUAAACUUAUACCCAUCCUGCUGUCAGAGUUCCCAGCAAGAGUUCCACAGAUGACUUGCUUUUCUGGAAAUGUUUGUUGUGAUUAAUGAAAAGGUCAUCCUACAGUGCCAAGCUAAUCUGGCUGUAUGCCUGACAGUGUACAGAAUGCAUAUGUAUAGGAAGGGUAAUGAGCUAAAUAUGGUAGCCGUUGCAAACCGAGUAUAGAUCUAGCUACUAUGCGGCCUCCUGAUAUGCUACUUGUGACAUGUUCUUAGUGGGCUAACUGAAUAAGCAAUCGACAGUCAACUGUGGGUUGGACGAACUUCCAAAAUUUGAAGUUGCAAAUUUAGCCGGAGUAACAUGCAAAUACUGCGACUGAAAUGACACACUCCAAAAGUUACCUUAUUGCAAUUUACCCAGUUUCUUUCUUCAUCAAACUGGUACAUAUCAGGUUACAAAUUUAAUUCAGUGCUUGAAGGUGUUUUAUGAUGUCAUAAGAUCACUUAUUACAGGUUCCCUUCUGGUAAGUAAAUUCCAGAGGGUUCCCAUCUUUAGAAUAGGAGGACAUAGAUUGUGAAAGGUUAUUUUUCUCUAAUUAGUAAGGUAGCAACUGGCAAAUAAUGAAAAGGAGAAAUCGGCACCAAUGGGGUGCAAUUGAUUUAUGGACUAGAUAUGCGCUUACAGUGUGUGAAUCCUAGAUUUCUAUGAUUCAUAGAAAUCAUACUUUUAGUUGUUUGCUAUGCAGUCUAAGUGAUGGUCCUGUUUUUCCAACUGUACACAAGAUAAUAAUGUUUUGACGUCCUCAGUUACUAUUGAACAUUAACUUCUAGUUAAGGACACAAAUUAUGACAUAUGUCGUGUUGCUGAUACCUAGUAUUUUUUUUGUCAAGGUGCAAGAGAGAGGAAGCAAAGAUCACUGCUUGGGAAAAUCUGCAGAAAGCAAAAGCAGAGGCAGCAAUUCGGAAGUUGGAGGUAUUGUUUCUGGUUGUACACAAUCAGCCAUGUUUGCAUUAUUUCUAAUGUUUCUAUGCUUUGGCUACAGACUUACAUGUUCUGCCCUUUGUAUUACAGAUGAAGCUUGAAAAGAAGAGGUCAUCAUCGAUGGAUAGAAUUUUGGGCAAACUACGUUCUGCUCAAAAGAAAGCACAAGGCAUGCGCACUACAGUUUCUGUCAGUGAGGAUCAGUGUGCUGUCAGUGAAGAUCAGUGUGCUGUGAGGGCAACCAAGAAGGCAUCCUUGAGAAGGACUAGCAAGCCUUUCAGCUGCUGUUUCACCUAUCAUGCUUGCUAGUUGUGAUAUGGUUGGUAUCUACAAUGAUUGUAGAAACUUUUUUUGGUGAGUUACUUUGCUUGCCAUACUUAUCUGGAUCUCUGUUAAACGCGUACAUAUUUGGAAAAGUUAAUAUUAGCCCCCCAUUUUUUUGCUGGAAAGAGAUUCAUUUCAUCAAAUAGGGUUUCCAGAGGGAUGGUCCAAACUGGAAUUUUCAAUUGGACUACAGCUUAUCAGCAUGCAGUACGUUGGAGCAAAAUUUGCUAAAGACAUGGCUUGCCCUAUUUUGAUAACAAUGAAUCUUCAUAAGCUUGAUCUCCCUUUCUGAAGCAAUAUGGCACUUUGCUUUUUGAACUAGACUUGAAUAUCUCGUCAUGUCUGACAGUCCCUUGACUAUUGGUUGAGUGUAGAUUUGGAAUUUGGUCCAAAUUCUUAAACCGUUCGUUUUUCCUUGCAACGCGUAAUUCCAUGCACCUAUGGUCCCUAGGAGUGAUUUGGAUGGUCCCAUUGCGGUGCUGACUGAUAUGGUGUGUAGGUGUAUGUGGCAUAACCAGUUGGCUACCGUGUGUUUGUCAAAGUUUGAAACAGGGAACAAAUUAUAUAUUUUUGUUUAAAAAUAGAUUCCAUAUUAUAGUUUGAGGGCCCAUUCUCUGUUACAUAUAAAUAUAUAACUACAUUGUCCAUGCAAAUAGUUUUGAGUGCGAAUUCUCUGUCACAUAUAAUUAAAUUGUUCAUGUGUAUAGUGUGAUGCUUGCAAAAUUUUGUAUGGUUAGUAACAGCCUUGUAGUGGUCUAGUAAUAAAACUUGAACUAAUAUUACUCAUGUAUCUUCAGAACCUUUGCAGCUCAAGUCAGCCGGCAGACAAACUGAAGUUAGACUGCAAAUGUCCGCCGUUGCAGCUGGAGAUAGCAGGAGUAAUUAGAAGAAGAGAGCUUAGCGCGGUCUGAUGAAUCAAAGUUUUGGAGCAAAGCCCACUCUUGUAGCUGAUGAUAUGGAGUACUUCACUCGGUACUCUGUAUCUGUAAACCAAGCAAGUGCUGUAGAUCAGGAAGCUCCCUUCUCGAGCUUUUCUCUAGUUGAACUCCGGACUGAUCGGCCGGUCCUCAUGGGCUGCCUGAUGCUGUGUACUGUAUCUUUGCCAUGGAAUUCUGUAUGUAGUUUCAAGCAUUGGGGCUCCAGUGUCAAAUAUUGGAUUCAUUGAACAAAGUUGUGAGAGCCACAAGCUAGAGGCACUUGACAGCAAGGCCUACAAACAAAGCUAGAGAUGGGAAGAAGUGAUUUUUUUGUUUUUGUUUUUGUUUUGAGAAGAGCUGGGAAGAAGUGUUGGCUGGUCUUGGAAUGCUUUCGACGUGGACGGUUGGCUCGGCUGCCGUGGCCAACGGGAGACGGUUGUGCCGUCGGAAGCAAAGCCAAGCCACAUCAAUUCAAACAGAAAAACGGAAAGUUGGGCAGUACUCCGGGUUAUCCAAGACGCUGCUGCUAUGCGUCGGACGGAGCUCUGGACGAGUCCACCACUCGGCCAAUGAGCCGCUUCCAGCGCGCAGUCGUCCACGCACCCACCUACCUUUUGCGUUCGUCGUUCGUUUCUCCGCGUCCUGUGCUUGUGUAUAUCCUACCAGUUCGUUUCGUGGCCGCCGCCGCGUGCGCACGCAUGCCAGAUGAUUCAGCAUAUAUCCAUAUCGCUUAUCAUCAUCCCUGUCCGUUUCUCCAUUGCUUCGCUUCUUCUCCUUUGCCUCCGACGUGACAAUGCUCACGCUGCGCCUGCGUGAAACUAUGUACACAUUUUUUUUCCCAAAGAUAACUUUCGAUCCAUUCAUCACCUGCCAUGGUAGUAAAUAAAUAACAAAAAAUCACAUCCAUGUUUAUAAACCACCUAGCGACGACUACGAGCACUAGAGCGAGUCGAAGGCGUGCCGCCGUCAUCGCCCCUCCCUCACUUGAACCGGGUCAAACUUGUUGAAGUAGGCAGUUCGGGAAGUCAUCAUGCUAAGACCACACGGGGCUAGGGCAUUAGAACAACAAUAGUCGCUGAUGAAGAGAAGUAUAGAUCAAAAUGAUACAACCUAUAGACACAUAAAUGAAGACACACAAAGAUUGGAUCUAAGCAGAUCCACCGAAGACAAGCACCAACCAAAUUCCACGAGAUCCGUCGAAGACUCUCAACACGCCCUCCGACAAUGUUAAACGCAUCAGCAGAAUGGGGGCUAGACGAGGAGAAUCUUAUUCCAUCUUUAGGGAGGCGUCAUCGCCUCGUCUUCCUAAGCAGGAUGCAAAUCAUAAAUGAGCUCAGAAAACACCUAAAACAGAGUAAGAGGCCGGCUAUGGCUGGGGGUCCACCGUGCCUCCAUAGUCUUACGGCCAUCAAUGGAAGGCAUAAGAACCCUAAGCUUUUUCCUUGAAGAGGAGGCGGUGGUUGUGUUCGGAAAUUCUGUACACACUACGAGUUCCCAUUAAGUAACGGCAGCAUUGAAGGCAUCAUGAAGAUCAUGGGUACGUAUCCUAGGGCGCAACCGAUUGUAGGGCAACCGACUGCUCCCGUCUUGGUGAUGACCACCAUUGGUACUCGUCCGUCACGGAGUGUAGGAUCUGAUUGUAAACACUUAGUUCGUUGGUGAAGAAGCCCUAGCUUUUGAUAUGUUGGGUUGUAACUUCAAUGGGCAUAAUGUGUUACCCCAUGGCUCAUUACCUUUUGGUCCGUAUCUUUGAUGGGCCCGGAUCCUUGGCUAGCCCAUUAUGUAUCUGUGGGCCUACCCCAUAGGUAUUCCUCUGUAAACCACUCACUGUUCCGAUAUCGACUAGGAUAAAGGUGUCAAUUUUAUCAUGGGCACGGUCAUUGUUUAUAAAAUAAAAUAAAAUACGAUACAAGUAUUUUAUUUUCUCAUGCUUCUCACUCACUAUGUAGAAUAGGAUUAUUCAUGUGCUCAUCAUUAGUAUUUAAUGUGUAAAUCAAUUUAUAGUAAUACAACAAAGUUAUCUAUUUGUAUGAUAGAGCAAAAAAGAUAACUUUUAGUUAAUGACAUAGAUGAGUUACGAGCUAACUUGUUUUUUAUUGCAAUAUGUAGAGAGGUAUAAAAUGUGAACUUGUGGAAUGGAUUCAUCAGGAGUGGCCUGACUCAAUCAAGAAGGCUCUGCAGGGCUCUGGGAUAGGUAUGAGUAGACCAAUAAACAAGAAAUUAAAGACAAACUUGAUCAAAUGUAGAUCAAUUCCCAUCUUCAUGCGCGAAAAAGAAGCUAGACGAGCAAUUUGAUAAGCUUAAUGAGGAUGGCAGUAACAUAAUGGACCAAACAGAGCAGAGGGUGGAAAACAUGAACUUGCAUAGGAUAAGUAGGGGGAAUGGAGAUCAUAAUAGGAAAGAACAAGCUGAUAAAGACAGGGCUGAGAUGGACGAAGAGAAUAAGAGGCUCAAUAAUCUUAUUGUCCAGCUGAAGUCAAUUUAGGUUGCCCAAGAAGGUGUGAUCAGAAACUUGAAGAAAGAGAGAGCAUGUUCAAGGAGAAGAAGCUGGAGUAUGGCAUUUCUGACCUAGUUUCAGAUGGUGGGGGUGAUCUAAGAGCAAGCUAAAGAGGAUCAAUCGAAUUUGUGAUGAAUGAUGUAGUGAUGCAGUUCGAAUCACCUUUUGCUAUGUGUGGUGCCUAAUGAAUAUCUAUGUCAACAAUGGUACCUGGAGAACUAUCUAUGUUUUGUAUGAUUAAGUUUGAAUCAUGAGAACUUGAGAUGUAGUAGUAAUGAUUGUGAGUAGUUGAUGAAUGCUGUUAUGUUUGAUUUAGUUUGAAUCCUGAUAACUUGGUAUGUAGUUUAAAUUUUUGGCACUGGCAUGCUCGAUGGUAUGUUUGAGUGAUGCAUGUGUUAUGUUUGAUCCACAUGAUGAAGUUUUAAAAUUACCAGGAAGUUUUAGCAUUUUGGCACUGGCCUUGCUAGAUGUAUGCAUUGAGGUCAAAUGGAUUGCAUUGAGUGACGCAUGGUGUUAUGUUUGAAACCAAAGGUGAUGGAUUUCACAAUGGUUAUGUUUGAAACCAUUUGUGCGGUCAACUGUGAAUAAAAAAUGAUGGAUCAAUUUUGAACAAGAGGGAUCAAAGUCACCUUGGAAUACAUUGGCCAUCCAAGGUACACUGACAUAAAUAGUUCAAGCAUAGAGCGAACUACAAUGACAUGGAUAGAGCAAACUACAUAAACACCACUAUCAUAGAUAAUUACAAGAUUAGUUCAAAGGCUCUCCCAAAUACUCUGACAUGACUCCUGACAUGCAUGCAGAGACUAAACUGGCCUGAAUUGGCGUGAUAGAAUCCUUGUGACGCACUCCCAUCUCGCUGUCUGAAUAGGAUCUGCCACACCGGCUUCAAGCAUAGCCCGCUACACUGUCAAUCCCGGUGUAGCCGCUUGCCAGCCCUGCUGCAUCCUUUGUCUCCCCACCGGGGUGGCCUCACUUCGAUGAGUAGAGGCAGCUGCCGGUAGAACCCUGUCUGCCCUUCACUUGAUCACCGAGAGCUGAACCGCUGAUAGGCCUCCAUGCUCAUAUGGAACAUUCACGUAGAUCGAACAUGCACACGCUCUUUGCAAGAGCGCCUUGAUCCUGUUGGAGAUAUGCCCUAGAGGCAAUAAUAAAAGGGUUAUUAUUAUAUUUCCUUGUUCAUGAUAAUUGUCUUUUAUUCAUGCUAUAACUGUAUUAUCCGGAAAUCGUAAUACACGUGUGAAUACACAGACCAUAACAUGUCCCUAGUGAGCCUCUAGUUGACUAGCUCGUUGGUCAACAGAUAGUCAUGGUUUCCUGACUAUGGACAUUAGAUGUCAUUGACAACGGGAUCACAUCAUUAGGAGAAUGAUGUGAUGGACAAGACCCAAUCCUAAGCAUAGCACAAGAUCGUGUAGUUCGUUUUGCUAGAGCUUUUUCAAUGUCAAGUAUCUCUUCCUUAGACCAUGAGAUCGUGUAACUCCCGGAUACCGUAAGAGUGCUUUGGGUGUAUCAAACGUCACAACGUAACUGGGUGACUAUAAAGGUGCACUACAGGUAUCUCCAAAAGUGUCUGUUGGGUUGACACGGAUCGAGACUGGGAUUUGUCACUCCGUAUGACGGAGAGGUAUCUCUGGGCCCACUCGGUAAUGCAUCAUCAUAAUGAGCUCAAAGUGACCAAGUGUUUGGUCACGGGAUCAUGCAUUACGGUACGAGUAAAGUGACUUGCCGGUAACGAGACUGAAUGAGGUAUUGGGAUACCGACGAUCGAGUCUUGGGCAUGUAACGUACCGAUUGACAAAGGGAAUUGUAUACGGGGUUGUUCGAAUCCUCGACAUCGUGGUUCAUCCGAUGAGAUCAUCGAGGAGCAUGUGGGUGCCAACAUGGGUAUCCAGAUCCCACUGUUGGUUAUUGCCCGAGAGCCGUCUCGGUCAUGUCUACGUGUCUCCCGAACCCGUAGGGUCUACACACUUAAGGUUCGGUGACGCUAGGGUUGUAUAAAUAUGAGUAUGAAGCAUACCGAAUGUUGUUCGGAGUCCUGGAUGAGAUCCCGGACAUCACGAGGAGUUCCGGAAUGGUCCGGAGGUGAAGAAUUAUAUAUAGGAAGUGAUAUUUCGGCCAUCGGGAAAGUUUCGGGGUCGCCCGGUAUUGUACCGGGACCACCGAAAGGGUCCCGGGGGUCCACCGGGUGGGGCCACCCAUCUCGGAGGGCCCCAAGGGCUGAAGUGGGGAGGGGAACUAGCCCAUAGUGGGCUGGUGCGCCCCGCUUGGCCCACCCCCUACGCCUAGGGUUGAAACCCUAGGGUGGGGGGGGGGGGCACUUGCCUUGGGGGGUACUCCACCCCCUUGGCCGCCGCCCCCCUUGGGAGAUUGGAUCUCCCAGGGCUGCCCCCCUGGGGGCCUAUAUAAAGGGAGGGGGAGGGGGCAGCCGCACCCUGAAGUUCUGGCACCUCCCUCCCCCUGCUACACCUCUUCCUCCCCCGUCACGUGCUUGGCGAAGCCCUGUCGGAGUGCUGCUGUUCCACCACCACCACGCUGUUGUGCUGCUGCUGGAGCCAUCAUCAUCAACCUCUCCUUUCCCCUUGCUGGAUCAAGAAGGAGGAGACGUCAUCCGCUCCGUACGUGUGUUGAACGCGGAGGUGCCGUCCGUUCGGCGCUAGGAUCUCCGGUGAUAGGAUCACGACGAGAACGACUACUUCAACCCCAUUCUUUUGAACGCUUCCGCUCGCGAUCUACAAAGUGGUAUGUAGAUGCAUCUCCCAUGACUCGUUGCUUAGAUGAACUCAUAGAUGGAUCUUGGUGAAACCGUAGGAAAAUUUUUAAUUUUCUGCAACGUUCCCCAACAGUGGCAUCAUGAGCUAGGUCUAUGCGUAGUUCUCUAUUGCACGAGUAGAACACAAUUUUGUUGUGGGCAUAGAUCUUGUUAACUUGCUUGCUGCUACUAGUCUUAUCUUGCUUCAGCGGUAUUGUGGGAUGAAGCGGCCCGGACCAACCUUACACGUACGCUUACGUGAGACCGGUUCCACCGACUGACAUGCACUAGUUGCAUAAGGUGGCUGGCGAGUGUCUGUCUCUCCCACUUUAGUUGGAGCGGAUUCGAUGAAAAGGGUCCUUAUGAAGGGUAAAUAGAAGUUGACAAAAUCACAUUGUGGUUACUCGUAGGUAAGAAAACGUUCUUGCUAGAAUCCAAUUGCAUCCACGUAAAAGAUGCAACAACAAUUAGAGGACGUCUAACUUGUUUUUGCAGCAAUUGUCAUGUGAUGUGAUAUGGCCAGAAGUUGUGAUGAAUGAUGAAUGAUAUAUUGUGAUGUAUGAGAUCAUGUUCUUGUAAUAGGAAUCAUGACUUGCAUGUCGAUGAGUAUGACAAUCGGCAGGAGCCAUAGGAGUUGCCUUUAUUUUUUGUAUGACCUGCGUGUCAUUGAAGAACGCCAUGUAAAUUACUUUACUUUAUUGCUAAACGCAUUAGCCAUAUAAGUAGAAGUAGUCGUUGGCGUGACAACUUCAUGAAGACACAAUGAUGGAGAUCAUGAUGAUGGAUAUCAUGGUGUCAUGCCGGUGACGAAGAUGAUCAUGGAGCCCCGAAGAUGGAGAUCGAAGGAGCUAUAUGAUAUUGGCCAUAUCAUGUCACUACUAUAUAAUUGCAUGUGAUGUUUAUUAUGUUUUAUGCAUCUUGUUUACUUAGAACGGCGGUAGUAAAUAAGAUGAUCCCUUAUAAUAAUUUCAAGAAAGUGUUCCCCCUAACUGUGCACCGUUGCUAAAGUUCGUCGUUUCGAAGCACCACGUGAUGAUCGGGUAUGAUAGAUCCUUACGUUCACAUACAACGGGUGUAAGAUAGAUUUACACAUGCAGAAUACUUAGGGUUAACUUGACGAGCCUAGCAUGUACAGACAUGGCCUCGGAACACAGAGACCGAAAGGUCGAACACGAGUCGUAUGGAAUAUACGAUCAACAUGGAGAUGUUCACCGACGAUGACUAGUCCGUCUCACGUGAUGAUCGGACACGGCCUAGUCGACUCGGAUCGUGUAACACUUAGAUGACUAGAGGGAUGUCUAAUCUGAGUGGGAGUUCAUUAUAAUAAUUUGAUAAGAUGAACUUAAUUAUCAUGAACUUAGUCUAAAACCUUUGCAAAUAUGUCUUGUAGAUCAAAUGGCCGCCGCUCAUGUCAACAUGAACUUCAACACGUUCCUAGAGAAAACCAAGCUGAAAGAUGAUGGCAGCAACUAUACGGACUGGGUCCGGAACCCGAGGAUCAUCCUCAUAGCUGCCAGGAAACAAUAUGUCCUAGAAGGACCGCUAUGUGAUGCACCCGUCCCAGAGAACCAAGACAUUAUGAAUGCUUGGCAGUCUCGCGCUGAUGAUUACUCCCUCGUUCAGUGCGGCAUGCUUUACAGCUUAGAACCGGGGCUCCAAAAGUGUUUUGAGCAACACGGAGCAUAUGAGAUGUUUGAGGAGCUGAAACUAGUUUUCCAAGCUCAUGCCCGGGUCGAGAGAUAUGAAGUCUCCGACAAGUUCUAUAGUUGUAAGAUGGAGGAAAAUAGUUCUGUCAGUGAGCAUAUACUCAAAAUGUCUGGGUUGCACAACCGCCUGUCCCAGCUGGACAUUAACCUCCCGGAUGAGGCGGUCAUUGACAGAAUCCUUCAGUCGCUCCCACCAAGCUACAAGAGCUUUGUGAUGAACUACAAUAUGCAGGGGAUGGUGAAGACCAUUCCUGAAGUAUUUUCAAUGCUGAAGUCAGCAGAGGUUAAAAUCAAGAAAGAACAUCAAGUGUUGAUGGUCAAUAAGACCACUAAGUUCAAGAAGGGCAAGGGUAAGAAGAACUUCAAGAAGGACGGCAAAGAUGUUGCCGCGCCCGGUAAGCCAGUUGCCGGGAAGAAGUCAAAGAAUGGACCCAAGCCUGAAACUGAGUGCUUUUAUUGCAAGGGGAAGGGUCACUGGAAGCGGAACUGCCCCAAAUACUUAGCGGACAAGAAGGCCGGCAACACUAAAGGUAUAUUUGAUAUACAUGUAAUUGAUGUGUACCUUACCAGUACUCGUAGUAACUCCUGGGUAUUUGAUACCGGUGCCGUGGCUCACAUUUGUAACUCACAGCAGGAGCUGCGGAAUAAGCGGAGACUGGCGAAGGACGAGGUGACGAUGCGCGUUGGGAAUGGUUCCAAGGUCGAUGUGAUCGCCAUCGGCACGCUACCUCUACAUUUACCUACGGGAUUAGUUUUAAACCUCAAUAAUUGUUAUUUAGUGCCAAGUUUGAGCAUGAACAUUGUAUCUGGAUCUCGUUUAAUACGAGAUGGCUACUCAUUUAAAUCCGAGAAUAAUGGUUGUUCUAUUUAUAUGAGAGAUAUGUUUUAUGGUCAUGCCCCGAUGGUCAAUGGUUUAUUCUUAAUGAAUCUCAAACAUAAUGUUACACAUAUUCAUAGCGUGAAUACCAAAAGAUGUAAAGUUGAUAACGAUAGUCCCACAUACUUGUGGCACUACCGCCUUGGUCACAUUGGUGUCAAGCGCAUGAAGAAGCUCCAUGCUGAUGGACUUUUAGAGUCUCUCGAUUAUGAAUCAUUUGACACAUGCGAACCAUGCCUCAUGGCAAAAAUGACCAAGACCCCGUUCUCCGGAACAAUGGAGCGAGCAACCAACUUGUUGGAAAUCAUACAUACCGAUGUGUGCGGUCCAAUGAGCGUUGAGGCUCGUGGAGGAUAUCGUUAUGUUCUCACUCUCACUGAUGACUUGAGUAGAUAUGGGUAUGUCUACUUGAUGAAACACAAGUCUGAGACCUUUGAAAAGUUCAAGGAAUUUCAGAGUGAAGUAGAGAAUCAACGUGACCGAAAGAUAAAAUUCUUACAAUCGGAUCAUGGAGGAGAAUAUUUAAGUCAAGAAUUUGGCACACACUUAAGAAAAUGUGGAAUCGUUUCACAACUCGCGCCGCCUAGAACACCUCAUCGUAACGGUGUGUCCGAACGUCGUAAUCGCACUCUAUUGGAUAUGGUGCGAUCUAUGAUGUCUCUUACCGAUUUACCGCUAUCAUUUUGGGAUACGCUCUGGAGACUACUACAUUCACUUUAAAUAGGGCACCGUCUAAAUCCGUUGAGACGACACUGUAUGAAUUAUGGUUUGGGAAGAAACCUAAGCUGUCGUUUCUAAAAGUUUGGGGAUGCGAUGCUUAUGUCAAGAAAUUUCAACCUGAAAAGCUCGAACCCAAGUCGGAAAAAUGCGUCUUCAUAGGAUACCCUAAAGAAACCAUUGGGUAUACCUUCUACUUAAGAUCCGAGGGCAAGAUCUUUGUUGCCAAGAACGGAUCCUUUCUGGAAAAAGAGUUUCUCUCGAAAGAAGUAAGUGGGAGGAAAGUAGAACUCGAUGAAGUACUACCUCUUGAAUGGGAUAGUAGUGCAACUCAGGAAAAUGUUCCUGUGAUGCCUACACCAACUGAAGAGGAAAAUAAUGAUGAUGAUCAAGGUACUUCGGAUCAAGUUGCUACUGAACUUCGUAGGUCCACAAGGACACGUUUCGCACCAGAGUGGUACGGAAACCCUGUCCUCGAAAUCAUGUUGUUGGACAACGGUGAACCUUCGAACUAUGAAGAAGCAAUGGCGGGCCCAGAUUUCAACAAAUGGCUUGAAGCCAUGAAAUUCGAGAUAGAAUCCAUGUAUGAAAACAAAGUAUGGACUUUGACAGACUUGCCCGAUGAACGGCGAGCGAUAGAAAACAAAUGGAUCUUUAAGAAGAAGACGGACGCGGAUGGUAAUAUUACCGUCUAUAAAGCUCGACUUGUCGCUAAGGGUUAUCGACAAGUUCAAGGGAUUGACUACGACGAGACAUUCUCUCCCGUAGCGAAGCUGAAGUCUGUCCGAAUCAUGUUAGCAAUUGCCGCAUACUAUGAUUAUGAGAUAUGGCAGAUGGACGUCAAAACGGCAUUCCUUAACGGACAUCUUAAGGAAGAACUGUAUAUGAUGCAGCCGGAAGGUUUUGUCGAUCCUAAGAACGCUAACAAAGUAUGCAAGCUCCAGCGAUCCAUUUAUGGGCUGGUGCAAGCAUCUCGGAGUUGGAACAUUCGCUUUGAUGAGAUGAUCAAAGCGUUUGGAUUUAUGCAGACUUAUGGAGAAGUCUGCGUUUACAAGAAAGUGAGUGGGAGCUCUGUAGCAUUUCUCAUAUUAUAUGUAGAUGACAUACUUUUGAUGGGAAAUGAUAUAGAACUUUUGGACAGCAUUAAGGCCUACUUGAAUAAGUGUUUUUCAAUGAAGGACCUUGGAGAAGCUGCUUAUAUAUAUUAGGCAUCAAGAUCUAUAGAGAUAGGUCGAGAUGCCUCAUAGGUCUUUCACAAAGCACAUACCUUGAUAAGAUUUUGAAGAAGUUCAAAAUGGAUCAGUCCAAGAAGGGGUUCUUGACUGUAUUGCAAGGUGUGAGAUUGAGCUCGGCUCAAUGCCCGACCACGGCAAAAGAUAAAGAAGAGAUGAGUGUCAUUCCCUAUGCUUCAGCCAUAGGAUCUAUUAUGUAUACCAUGCUGUGUACCAGACCUGAUGUAAACCUUGCCGUAAGUUUGGUAGGAAGGUACCAAAGUAUUCCCGGCAAGGAACACUGGACAGCGGUCAAGAAUAUCCUAAAGUACCUGAAAAGGACGAAGGACAUGUUUCUCGUUUAUGGAGGUGACGAAGAGCUCGUCGUAAAGGGUUACGUCGACGCUAGCUUCAACAAAGAUCUGGAUGACUCUAAGUCACAAACCGGAUACAUGUAUAUGUUGAAUGGUGGAGCAGUAAGCUGGUGCAGCUGCAAGCAGAGCGUCGUGGCGAGAUCUACAUGUGAAGCGGAGUACAUGGCAGCCUCGGAGGCAGCGCAUGAAGCAAUUUGGGUGAAGGAGUUCAUCACCGACCUAGGAGUCAUACCCAAUGCAUCGGGGCCGAUCAAACUCUUCUGUGACAACACUGGAGCUAUUGCCCUUGCCAAGGAGCCCAGGUUUCACAAGAAGACCAGGCACAUCAAGCGUCGUUUCAACUCCAUCCGUGAAAAUGUUCAAGAUGGAGACAUAGAUAUUUGCAAAGUACAUACGAAUUUGAAUGUCGCAGAUCCAUUGACUAAACCUCUCUCACGAGCAAAACAUGAUCAACACCAGAACUCUAUGGGUGUUCGAUUCAUCACAAUGUAACUAGAUUAUUGACUCUAGUGCAAGUGGGAGACUGUUGGAAAUAUGCCCUAGAGGCAAUAAUAAAAGGGUUAUUAUUAUAUUUCCUUGUUCAUGAUAAUUGUCUUUUAUUCAUGCUAUAACUGUAUUAUCCGGAAAUCGUAAUACACGUGUGAAUACACAGACCAUAACAUGUCCCUAGUGAGCCUCUAGUUGACUAGCUCGUUGGUCAACAGAUAGUCAUGGUUUCCUGACUAUGGACAUUAGAUGUCAUUGACAACGGGAUCACAUCAUUAGGAGAAUGAUGUGAUGGACAAGACCCAAUCCUAAGCAUAGCACAAGAUCAUGUAGAUCGUUUUGCUAGAGCUUUUUCAAUGUCAAGUAUCUCUUCCUUAGACCAUGAGAUCGUGUAACUCCCGGAUACCGUAAGAGUGCUUUGGGUGUACCAAAUGUCACAACGUAACUGGGUGACUAUAAAGGUGCACUACAGGUAUCUCCAAAAGUGUCUGUUGGGUUGACACGGAUCGAGACUGGGAUUUGUCACUCCGUAUGACGGAGAGGUAUCUCUGGGCCCACUCGGUAAUGCAUCAUCAUAAUGAGCUCAAAGUGACCAAGUGUUUGGUCACGGGAUCAUGCAUUACGGUACGAGUAAAGUGACUUGCCGGUAACGAGACUGAAUGAGGUAUUGGGAUACCGACGAUCGAGUCUUGGGCAUGUAACGUACCGAUUGACAAAGGGAAUUGUAUACGGGGUUGUUCGAAUCCUCGACAUCGUGGUUCAUCCGAUGAGAUCAUCGAGGAGCAUGUGGGUGCCAACAUGGGUAUCCAGAUCCCGCUGUUGGUUAUUGCCCGAGAGCCGUCUCGGUCAUAUCUACGUGUCUCCCGAACCCGUAGGGUCUAAACACUUAAGGUUCGGUGACGCUAGGGUUGUAUGAAUAUGAGUAUGCAGCAUACUGAAUGUUGUUCGGAGUCCUGGAUGAGAUCCCGGACGUCACGAGGAGUUCCGGAAUGGUUCGGAGGUGAAGAAUUAUAUAUAGGAAGUGAUAUUUCGGCCAUCGGGAAAGUUUCGGGGUCGCCCGGUAUUGUACCGGGACCACCGAAAGGGUCCCGGGGGUCCACCGGGUCGGGCCACCCAUCCCGGAGGGCCCCAAGGGCUGAAGUAGGGAGGGGAACCAGCCCAUAGUGGGCUGGUGCGCCCCCCUUGGCCCACCCCCUGCGCCUAGGGUUGAAACCCUAGGGGGGGGGGGGCGCCCCACUUGCCUUGAGGGGUACUCCACCCCCUUGGCCGCCGCCCCCCUUGGGAGAUUGGAUCUCCCAGGGCCGCCCCCCCUGGGGGCCUAUAUAAAGGGAGGGUGGGAGGGGGCAGCCACACCCUGAAGUUCUGGCGCCUCCCUCCCCCUGCUACACCUCUUCCUCCUCCGUCACGUGCUUGGCGAAGCCCUGCCGGAGUGCUGCUGUUCCACCACCACCACGCCGUUGUGCUGCUGCUGGAGCCAUCAUCAUCAACCUCUCCUUUCCCCUUGCUGGAUCAAGAAGGAGGAGACGUCAUCCGCUCCGUACGUGUGUUGAACGUGGAGGUGCCGUCCGUUCGGCGCUAGGAUCUCCGGUGAUAGGAUCACGACGAGAACGACUACUUCAACCCUGUUCUUUUGAACGCUUCCGCUCGCGAUCUACAAAGUGGUAUGUAGAUGCAUCUCCCAUGACUCGUUGCUUAGAUGAACUCAUAGAUGGAUCUUGGUGAAACCGUAGGAAAAAUUUUAAUUUUCUGCAACGUUCCCCAACAGAUCCAUCAUAUCAUCCCAUGGAGGAUCCUCAUUGCCCAUUGCAUCUUCGCCUCCAGUCACAUCCUCUUUACCCCGUUGCACAUCCCCACCUCCAUUCACAUCGUCUCUGCAGGGGAGAUCAAGCAAAUCAGACUAGGAUCAAGCGGUGGAGGGGGGGUGGUGGAGGGAGCAGUGGAGGGAGCAGGGUGGCCGGAAAUCGAGAUCCACCGUGAGGUCUCAUGGAGGCGGAGAGGGUGGGAUAGGGAGAGUUACCAAAGGAGUAGGUGUUAGCCUGUGGCUAGGCGAGGGGGUGUUUUAAAAACGGGAGAGGAGGGGGGUGUUUGAAAAAGGGGAGCGAGGGGGGGGGUGUCCUUCAAAAACUCUCACACUCUCUCAAAUCCGUUGAGAACUCAUAACCUCUUGAACUAUAUAGAAAAACCCAAUGGAGUCAACAAAUUUCGUUGCUAACAAGACUAAUAUCUCUACUCUUAAAGGGGGAAUUGGUAGCCUAGUAUCCCGGUUUAUUUUCGUCUGUUUUUUUCUGCCUCACCUUUCACCACCCACACUGGAUUUUUCUCCCUUCCAUGAAAAAACCAAAUCUCAUUAAACGGGAGGUCUUUUUUCGUGCAUGCUUUGGUGGGCACUCACAAGAAUUCAGAAAUCACACCAUAUAUGUGAGAUCACCUUCCUUAAAGACAGACAUAAGAUUUCUCUCGAUAACCUUCCAAAACAAAAUCAGAUAUUUCUCAAUAACAAAUCACUAAUUCCGCGCACUAUGCCAUUUAUUAUUAUUAUAUCUACUACUAUUAAUUAAUAACCAUAAGUUUCCUAAUACAACAAAAAUAACAUAUCUUUCUUCUUAUGGGUGUACACAUCCGCGCGCCCCUGCAAAGGGGCGUCGUGUGCGACACCAUGGAGUACGCCGUGGUCGGACCUGACACCGGCAUGAUGCUCAAGAAUGUGAGGGUGUGAAUCACGGCAUUGAGUACGGCCAUGGCGGAAGGUAGGUCGUCGCACCGUCACAUACGUGCCUUCGUAGACGCAGUCAUAUUAUAUUUUUGGUCAGUCAUAGAGAGAGCUACUUUCUCAAAUCCAAUGUGACCACUGAAAUGUCAAGAAAUUCGUUAAGUAAAUAUGUCCUACAACACUCGGUAGUUCUCGUUCGUAGCAGCCAUUCAUGCGAAAAUAUUUUGGAAAUCGAGCGCUGAAUCAAUUUGGAAAUCAAACCAUUAAUGCAAUUGUUUAGGCCCAUUUAAAUAGGAAUUUUUUGCACCGAAUUAAUUUGGAAACUGAGCUAUUAAUGCAAUUAAUUAAUUAUGUAGACAAUUAAUUAUGCCUACAAAUAAUUAGAAGGAGGAUCUUUUCUAAUUAGGCAGAUAAUUAAUUGAUUUGGUUGACAAUUAAUAAAAUAUACAAAGAAUUAGGUAGGUCGUUAAUUAUUUGUGUAAUUAAUUAAUAAAGCAAGCAAUUAUUCGCACUCAAUCAUUUUGAGAGUGCUCGUGGGAAAAGACGAUCAACAUGCUCUCAGCGACAUAGUCGAGCACCACUUGACAACAUGGACAAUGGCCACCAUGCGCUCACGACAUGAGCGUCUCUAUUCCUAAAGGGAGAGUUGGUAGCCUGGUAGCCUAGUAUCCUGGUUUAUUUUUGUCUGCUUUGUUUGCCUCAACCCCCACCAUUUGGUUUCUCCCUCCCAUUAAACAAUUAAAUCCCAUUAAAAGGGAGAUAGUGUUUGCGUGCUUGCUUUGGCAGGUGCUUAAAUAACAGGUAACUAAAAAUUUAGAAAGCAUACCAUAUAUCUGAGAUCACCUUCCUAAAAUACAGAUAUAAUUUUUUUCAUGAUAACCUUCCAAAAAAAUCAGAUAUUCCUCACCAAUGAACUGCUAAUCGCAUGCACUAUACCAUCUAUUAUUAUCAUUAUUUGUACUAUUAAUUAGUUGACAAUCACAAUUUUUCUAAUACAACAAAAAUAACAUAUAUUUUUCUCUUGUGGGCGUACACAUCUGGGCCACCCCUAUGGAGGGACGCCGUGCGUGGCACCAUGCAGGACGGCAUGGCCGGACCUAAAGCCGGUGCGAUGGACGAGAAUGCCAGGGCGUGGACCACGGCGUCGAGGACAGCCAUGGCGGAAUGCGGGUCGUCCCAUCGCCAUGUACAGACAUUCGUGGAUGCAGUUAUAUUAUAUUUUUUAUUAGGCAUUACAGAGAGCCAUACAUGCUAUAUUCUCAAAUCAAGUGUGUACAUUUGAAUGUCAAGAAAUUCGUUACGGAAUGUGUUCUACAAUGCUCGGUAGUCAUUGUCGUUCGUAGCAGCCAUUCAUUUAAAAAUAUUUUAAAAAUCAAACACUAAAUCAAUUUGGAAGUCAAACCAUAAAUGUAAUUAAUUAGAUAGACAGCUAAUUACACAUGCAAUUAAUUAUGUCCAUUUAGAUAAGAAUUUUUUCCCAUCGAAUUAAUUUGGAAACCGAGUCAACAGUUAAUUAUGCCUAUAGAUAAUUAGAAGUAUGGGAUUUUCCAAUUAAGUAGAUACUUUAUUGAUUUGGAUGACAGUUAAUUAGGCAUGCAGAGAAUUAGGUAGGCUGUUAAUUAUUUGUAUAAUUAAUUAGGAAAGCAUUUAAUCACGCCGGAUCAUUUUGAAAGCGCUCGUGGGCAAGAACAAUCAACAAGCUCUCAAGUACAUGGGCCGAGCACUGUUUGCCAACAUGCAGAAUGGCCAUCACGCGCUCGUGACAUGGGCGACCUCGCGUUCACCAAGAUAAAUAUGACGACCAUGCUCUGCAGGAUGUCCACACGUUGAUGGUGAUCGAAACAUUCAUGGGUGAGAACAACACGAUACUACAUUGACCAGGUGGUUCAUGUUAUAGUAGAAAUGAAGAGUGUUCUAAGAAUAAGAAGGAAAAAGAACCACUAGUAGAAAAACACCUAAUAGUCCCGGUUCGUGAGGGCCUUUAGUCCCGGUUCAUGAACCGGGACUAAUGGGCCGUUACUAAUACCUCCACCCAUUAGUCCCGGUUCAAACUAGAACCGGGACUAAUGUGCCUCCACGUGGCUCUGUGCGCCGAGCCCAGUCAGGGGGCCUUUGGUACCGGUUGGUGGCUCCAACUGGGACCAAAAGUCCAUGUUUUUUUGGAAAUUGACUGCUUUAGGGGUUUUGGGGGUUAUUUUUAGGUUUUUAUAUUAGCUAGCUAAUAGAGAGAAGUGUCCUCUCUUAUAUCUUCGUCCUUGGUUUACCAACGCUGCUGCUAUAUAUGUUCAUUUUACCCGCUGAUAUAAUAACUCAUGCAUGCUCGCAUACAUCAGCAUAUAUAAUAACAAGUACUCGUCCUACUAAUCAUGCAUCAUCAUACAACUUCUACUCGUUAUUAAUAAUAAGUCAUACGAUCAUCAUCCUCAUAGUCAUCGAACCAAAUCCUACAUAAUUGUUCUUAACACAUGAUCAUCAGUAUCAGGUAGGACCUAAACACCCUUAAGGUAAAAUAGCAUAAAACAAUAUAGACCCUGACUCUCCAUUAUGAAGAAUGGCGAUCAUCCUGUCUCCAAUUUUUGCCUUUCGCUGAAUGUUGCUUCCAAGAAGCUCCUUACGACUGUCCAUAUAUUUUUUCCAUUCUUUGUUUCUCAGGUCUCCACUUAUUUUAGAAACCCGGUAUGGACAGUUGAGAUUUGUAGGACGACCUGGUUGUAUGUUCAAAACAUGAAGGCUACCGUGUGUAUAUACAUCAGAUGAGGCACACAAUCAUUCGGGAUUAUCUGUUGAAAAACAUAGUAAUAACUUCGUAGUUAGCAAUGAUAUGAUGUACUAGUUUUAGAAGUGUGCAAAAAGAUGCACGGAUGUUGUAAUAGUACAAAAAUCUUACCAGGGUAUCUCCAUGGUAGUUACCGUAGUUCAACACGUGCACUAGUGGCACGUAUUGACCAUAAUGUUGAGGAGUUCGAUUGUAGGCAUUGUAAUUCUCAAGAUCAGUACAAAAUGCGACUAGAUGAUUUUUCUCUUGAUAAGUUAGUUCGGAGCCUUCGGUGUAGUAGGUUCUGUCUACCAUCUUCCGCACAUUCUUUGAAGAAUGAAAAUAAGCUGUCAAUGGAGAAUAAGUUGUCAACUAUUUUGAAAUAAACAAUAUAAAUUACUUAAUAACUAUGUUAAGCUCACAUGGGGGAAGAAUUGGAGGUGUAUCCACAAGGACGAAAAUCGUAGGUCUCUUUUGCUCGAUUGUAGGAUCACUAAGAUCCAUGGUAACAAGCAUACCCUCAUCAAAACCAUACAUCUUGCAAAGUGCUUCCCAAUUUUUGCAACCAAAAUGGGUUACACUCUGAGCAUUGUACAACUUUACUUGAAAAUCCACACCAUGAUGGGUACUUAGGAUAAUUUUUUUGGUUUCAAAACUUUCAUGGUCUUCAAAACUCAUCCUCUCCAAGACAUAGCGUCUUGCAAAGCAUGGAAUAAGCUAGUCGAAUUGGAAAAGAUGAAAAAUAUUGUCAUGAUUAAAAUAGUUGAAGUCAUGAGUAAUUACAAAAAAAAAC
rnacentral:lncRNA from 1 species